CCGUCUCGCCAUCGCCUCCAUCGGCAAGCUCAUGUUUGCGCAGUUCUCCGAGCUCGUUAACGACUUCUACAACAACGGGCUGCCCUCUAACCUGUCCGGGGGACGGAACCCGAGCCUGGAUUAUGGCUUCAAGGGAGCCGAGAUCGCCAUGGCCUCAUACUGCUCGGAGCUGCAGUUCCUUGCCAACCCUGUGACCAACCAUGUCGAGAGCGCGGAGCAACACAACCAGGACGUGAACUCCUUGGGCCUGAUCUCGUCGAGGAAGACUGCCGAGGCCGUCGACGUGCUGAAGCUCAUGUCCUCCACCUUCCUGGUCGCCCUGUGCCAGGCCAUCGACCUGAGGCACCUGGAAGAGAACCUCAAGAGCGUGGUCAAGAACACGGUGAACCAAGUGGCCAAGAAGGUCCUCUACGUCGGGUCCAACGGCGAGCUCCACCCGUCGCGGUUCAGCGAGAAAGACCUGAUCAAGGUGGUCGACCGGGAGCACGUCUUCGCCUACAUUGAUGACCCCUGUAGCGCCACGUACCCCCUGAUGCAGACGCUGAGGCAGGUCCUCGUGGACCAUGCGCUGGACGACGUCGACCGAGAGAAGAACCCCAGCACCUCCAUCUUCCAGAAGAUUGGGGCUUUCGAGGAGCAGCUCAAGGUACUCCUCCCGCAGGAGGUCGAGAACGCGAGAGCUCAGUUCGAGAGCGGGAGCUCGGCGAUCGCUAACAAGAUCAGGGGGUGCAGGUCGUACCCAUUGUACAGGUUCGUGAGGGAAGAGCUCGGGACCGGUUUGCUCACGGGGGAGAAGGUCGGCUCGCCGGGCGAGGACUUUGAUCUGGUGUUCUCCGCCAUGUGCGAGGGCAAGCUGAUCGAUCCUUUGCUGGAGUGCUUGAGGGACUGGGAUGGUGCUCCGCUUCCCAUCUGUUAGAAACUUUUCCAAAUCCUGAAGACUGCCUCAUAAUUUAACUUGCCCUAAUCUUGGUAUGUACUUAGAGAGUUUUUCAUGGUCGAGAAACUGCGGUUAAAAUUGUAAUGUCUCUUAUGUCUUUUGUUCAGUUCUUUCUUAUUCAAACACCCCCCCCCCCUCGAUGUAUAUUUGUACUUGGAACUUCAUCGGUGUAACAACAAUGUUGAAACACGUGAAGGAAUACAACAUACAUUGCGUUACAUUUUCGUUCUUAUAAAGGAUCGCGACAUUUACUCUGCAUUGUGAGUUAAUUGUUAUUGGGUACAUCUUAUUGUAUCUCCCAACUUGAACCUACCAAACGUAAAAUCAGAAUGAACAUGUAUUUCUUAAAGGGAGCUACCCUCAUUAGAAAUUAAGUGGGUUGCGUAUUAAGAAUCAAUAUUAUAUUUAAGUUCAUGAAAAGGAACACGUUUAUAUGAAAAGACAUUCAGAUAAUAUAUGCAUCAUUAUUGAUUCAGUCUACAUUAUUCUAAUUAAAUGAAUGCAUAUUAUUUCAAGGCUCCACAUGUAUAAAAAAGUUAGAGGUUGCUCAUCUUUGCUUAGGCCUAGAAUGAUGCCCGACCAACCUCUUUGCCAUGACUUUUGGAAGAGGUUGACCUACCGAGCAUGAAUUUCUUUGUGGGUUGGCCCGAAAAGGCAAUAAAUCAUUUGGGAUGGGACAUAUAUUCCAAAUUGAGUGGUUGCCUCCAGAGCAGGAUAACUCUAUGAUUGGCAAAUAUGGGGCCCCGUUCCUAGAAAAAUAUCACAACUUUGGAUUUUCCUCGAUGCACUUGGCCUAAUCCAUGAGGAGGUUUCUGCCCAAAAUGGUAACCUGGCUAGCAAAACCGAAGUGUCACAUGGAUCUAUUUAGGACAUGUCACGGUCGAUUCCCAGUGUUCGAACCUCAAAAUUAUGGCCCCAAACCCACACUACCUUCUAUGCCAAACCAUAACUGAUGGAGUUUGUAUCAAACUUAACCUCGCGCAAUUUGUGUAAUCGAUAGAUUGAUAAGGAUGUUAGGUCGGCCACCAUAUCAUGUGAUGGCGGAUUCUGUUCAAGUUUAGCUGAACCUCGCUGGUUCAAAGGUGGUACAGUCCCACUUUUUAGUCUCUAAUAAGCUGUCGAAAGCACAAGCAUGGAUACCUUCGAUCUUCCCACUCAAUUUGAGGUCCAUAUACGAGAUUGAAUGUGGAGAAAUGGGUGCGUAUCUGGUAUCACUGAAUUCUCUGAGUCACUGACAGACUCCAUCAUUUGGUUACCUCUUUUUUGUGGAAAGUUCCCUUCUGUAGCAUUAGUGCAGAAGAGCAGACAGUUUCAGCUCCCUGGGGACAAGUUGUCUAGGGCAGAUAAGACAGAAAGUGGAAGAUCCCCGUUUGGACACGUCACUCCAAUGUAAAACAGCCAACGGAUUUCCUAGACAUGGGCAACAAUCAUUCCUAAUCCUCAAAGUGGUCGGAUGUCAAUGCGUCUGUCUCUCUCUCUAUCUCACACGGCGCUUUCAAUAUGUCUUGCUUCAUGUCUUCGAACUUGGGUUUGCCUGGCCGGUGAUCUCAACCAUAUGGGGAAGCAUAUAGCUCGCUCUUCUUCUGCUCGAUUGACCUCUUUCGAAUGUGAAUUCUGGGUUUGUCUCUCCCUCUGGAGAUCGAUGGACACACGCAUCGAUCAAAGCGGGUGAGUGAACUUUGACAUGUUCUUACUCUUUCGCUUUCUAAACAAUUUUGGUUAGGGAUAGCGAAAGAUCGUGAUUCUAAUGUUGUUUUUCCGAACAGGCCUCUCUAUAUGUGUUGACAAUAGCCCUAUAUUUUGGAAUAAUAUGAUAAAUGCAAGCAAUAAAGAGAUUGAUUUUACAUUCUAUGUUCAUGGGAUGUCGAGUUUUCUUUGUGACGACAAAUCACUUUAUAAAAUAUAUAUAUAUAUAUAACCAUAGCAAAAUUCAACUAUCUCGUAAUCAAGGAGUAACCUGAGAAUUUAUCCAUCAAUUCAAAAACUACCAUUCCCUUCACGUGCCAAACAAGAUAUAAAAGAUGCCUAAGCCGUAGCAACUGCCCGAAGUACAAAUAACCAGAAACCAUAGAGUGAAGAUCAAUUAUUUGCCUUCAUUAGCCAUUACAUUGUCCCUUCGAACUUGUAAAUCUCCCCUUUUUGCCUAAUACGCUAAUCAAUCCACAAAACGUUAUCAAGUAAGUGUUGGAGAAAUUUUCUUGAAGUGUUUUGAAGCUGACAAAACGUUUCCAUCAGUCUAGUCUGAAGGCUUGCAGACUCUGCUAUUUAAAGUCUGAAGACCUCCGGACAGCCAGACUCAAGACUCAAAGUCUAUCCUCAUUGACAGUCUCUAAUCCGUUAAAGAAAGGUUAUCCAGAACUGGAUGUUUCGUUAAGGAUUUAAUCUUAUCAACUGGAGAAGAUCUCGUGGCUGGAAAAGACAUAACGGAGUCCUUUGAUUGAUCGAAGAUUGACUCGAUAAUUGAAGAUCCGGUGAUUACCUAAAUAUUAUUGGAAGGUUCUACUUAUGGAAACCGAGAUCCUGAUUGUAUGGGCGAACAUGAUUGAUGGGCUAUCGACACGUUCCUUUAAUAGCUCGGAUAAUCUUCCUAAUUGAUUCCGUCCAACGGGUAGAUUGGAGGAAUUCUUUUGGUAAGUGCCAACGGGUAUGAUGGCAUAAAAGAGUAUAUAAGGAAGACGUUCUAAGUUGUUGAGGUGUGCGCGAUAGAAGAAUUCCAAAGUCUGAAGCUCCUUUUUAUUUAGACAAUUCCUUUGAGCGAAUACUUGUAUACAAAAGAGAGUCUAUAUUUGUGAGAAAUCUUGAGGAGGUGUGGUAGAACAUCCACACUGUGGAAUCAAGGCAAAGCUGUGCUGUAACUUCUCUUUUGUUCAUAAGUGAAAUCCAGCCGGUGGGCUGUCAGUGCGGAAGAGUGGACGUAGGUUUGGAAUAAGCCGAACCACUAUAAACCCUGUGUUCAAUUUUCUCUUCCUUGCUCUCUUUACCUUGAUCGUAUUUCAUUUUGUUAAUCAAAAAAGAAUUUCCUUUCUAUCGUUUGCCAAGAAUCGCUUCCAUAUCUCGAUAAAUUGUUUGUGCACCUAUUCACCCCCCUCUAGGUGCUUAUACUAGCUAUCUCAGUAAGGACCUGUAAAAUCAAGUGCUGUAGGCCUGAAAGAUUCAUUUGCUGACAGCAUUCUAUGCAAGUUAAGAACUAACUCAGGGAGGAAUGGUUGAGGAAGCUUCAUUUGCUAAGUACGUCAAGGUAUUCAUGUACUGCGUAUAGCACACCAAAAGCAAAACUCAUUGGUAGAGCAACAUAUAUGGAGAGAGAACCCAUAUAAAUAUGUGUGUCCUCCAAUCCACCUACACGGGCACACACUUGGGUUACAUAGAGAUGGAAGGACAAGCCCAGCGUUCGAAAGAAAAGGAACAUUUUGACAUUGUUAUGGCAGUCAAACAAAGUCUUGCGAGCAAUUAAGUAGUAAGCAAGCAUCCAAAACUAAAUAUAUCAGAAGCACACCCAGCUGAAGCCGUUUUGCACCAGACCACUUUAGGAGCAGUGCAAUUGAGUGAUGGCUGCAAAAGACAGUACAUAAUCCUCAAGAUCAUAUUCCUGCACGAUCAUUACAAAAGCUGGCAUAAGUAACCAAACUGCCAUCAUACUAAUAUCCGCAAUAACAUGCUGAACAAAAUGUGAGAAUUGUGCCACACAAUACUGUCAUGACUUGCAUACAAGAGAAUUUUCAGUCUAUUUCCACAGUUUAACAUCACUAAGUACUAGAUCAAGAAUGGUUGGGAUAGCAAGAGAACAAGAAUCGAGUAGGGAGAAACUACAAAAACACAAUCAGUCACCAACUUGAAGUCAGGAUGAGUAAAAUCAUCGUGAAUAAAGGAAAAUGAUAAGUAACUUUCACCAACCUCUAUUGUGAGAUCAAAAUAUGAAAAGGAAUGUGCAACGGUUAUGUCCCAAAGAAUGGAGAGAUGAAAACAAAGUCGGUUUCCUUCACUCAUCAUCUUAUUGAGUUAUCCACACACAGAAUAAUGAAAAAGUUGCAGACUAGAUAAAUCCACGGUGGCCUGAUCUGAGGAAAUGGCAAAACCAAAUCCACAAGCUUCCAAGAUCCACUUGAUGUAAUAAGCACAUUCUGCAAAAAGAUGUUCCGACAAUUACUUAUGCAUGUCCAAAUACCCAUAUGCUCUUCUUAAAUCCCGAAUUUAAGAGUGAAACAACAUAAUUUUACUUAAAAGGGUAGAAACACCACCCAAUAAAGGGAAAGACAAAGUUAUCUUCUUUUAAGAGUGAAACAACUUAAUUUAGAAAUUACCAACUUAUUUGGAGCUUGCAAAUUCCUAAAUUUUGUACAAAAUUAUCUCCUUUUAUUUGCAUAUUUUACUAAGGGAAAAUUUUAAAAAGGGACUCGAAGUACCAUCUUUUCCUCAAAUAAGGGUCCAAAGAGGAUAUUGUUUCAAAUAAGGACUGAAAGUGAAUAUUGUUUAAAAUAAUGAUCUAAAGCAGUUACGUUUUUUUUCUUUUUUGGUGACCCGGGAAUCACCAUACAACUGGCAACCAGUGGCGUAAAUCCGAGGUGGACUGAGCCACCACCACAGACCCAGCCGCGGGUGAGUCACGCGAAUGCGACGCCUCUGGGAUUCGAACUCCUUCCCUUCAUGAGGGGGAGAGAGCCCGAAGCCAGCUACACCACCGCGGGCGGUGGUAUCUAAAGCGGUUAUGUUUGUUUCAAAUAAGGAUUUAAAAUGGCUAUAUCGGUUUCUAAUAACUUUUCGGCAAUCACGGUAUUUUCGUCAUUUGUCAUUUUUCCUCUUUUUUUUUUCUUUUUUCUUCUGGUUCUUCUUCUUCCUCUUCGCCGGCGAAGAGGAAGAAGCAGAACCAAAAAAAUAAAAGAAAGGAAAAAAGGGAAAAAUGCCAAAUGACGAACUGAUUGGAAAACGAAGAGGAAGAAGCAGAACCAAAAAAAUAAAAGAAAGGAAAAAAGGGAAAAAUGCCAAAUGACGAACUGAUUGGAAAAUUUAGCGGGUUGGUGAUCGGCAAAGUUAGGUCAUUAUUUGAAAUAACCAAAGCCAUUUCAGGCCUUUAUUUGAAAUAAUCAAGGCAAUUUCAAAUCUUUAUUUGAAAUAAAAUCCACUUUGGGCUCUUAUUUGAAAAAAUAAGGACACUUUGGCUCCUUUUUAAAAAAUUUCCCUUUUACUAAUGCUUUGAAUUCGCUAACUAUUUUAUAAAAUUCAUAAGCUAAAUUAGUAUUAUUUACUAAAUUUUGUCCAAUUAAAAUUUUUAGUUUUGAUUUACCAACUAUCUUUGAAUUAUUUACGAAUAUUUAAUUUUUUUUAAUCUACCAAUUGUCUUGUUAAAGUUACCAAGUGUGUUUGUCUUGGAGCUAUUUUUUUUUUUUAAAUUUAAAAGACUCAUUCAAAAAUUACCAAUCAAAAUUAGCUUGAUUUACAAGUUUUCUUCCAUUAAAUUAUCAAAUAGUAUUGAGUGCCUACUUUCAUUUGAAUUACUUACCACACUCUAGUUGUUUAAAUUCUCAAUUUGCCUAAUUUUCUUAUCGUUUCUAAACUUUGCUUUUCCUAGCAACUCUUGUGAUUUACCGACUCCUUUUUCAAAUAUUAUCACUAACCUAAUUAAAGUGACAUAACAACUUCUCUUUGAUUAAAUUAUCGGCUAGUCUUGGAUUGCCAACUCUCAUUCGAGUUACUUACGGCAUUUUAUCUUUCCUAACUCCUCCAUACAUAUUUAUCCAAAACAUGCGACAUUAUCAUACGCAAUCACAUCUUUUUCCAUCGAUCUUUUUCAUACAAAAUAUGCGGGACUUCUUGAGCUCCCGAUUAAUCUUCAUUAAAUGAGCUAGUUAUCUCAACUCAAAUAGUGCUUGAUGGUACAUUAUUGUACGUUUAUACACCUGACCAUCAUCUUGAUAGGAUAAGCUUUUGCUAACAAAAUUGCCAAAUAUACAGAUUAGGUAUCAGUUUGGCCAUGGUUUGAUUAAGUCCAGGUAAUUAGCUGCACUUUUGGAUGACUCCGGGUUCGAGACUCCAGCUACCAAAUCAAGACUCGAAAAAAAACAAGAGAUUAGUCGAUUUAACCAUUUUAUUUAAAAAGAUGCUAUUUCCACUUUAUUUUACGAUUUUAAUACCUCUUCUUUUUUCUUGCAAGUUACUUCUCCGAUAUGGGCUUCUAGACGAAGAAGGGUUUGACGUGCAUAUAGUCUAACUUGAUCCGGAUUUUCUUGAUAUAUUAAGUAUAAAUCUACAAGUAAGUACCUAAAAUACAUAUCUAAUAAAGCACAUAAACUCCCAUUUUCUUCUGGACUUAUCAAGAAACCUGAUGGAUGGAGACACCCUUUCGAUUCUUCCAAGGUUGCAACUUGUUGAGGGACAAAAUAAAUUCACAAUUAAAUUCCCAACAUUAGGAACUCGUUGAUAAUACUAGCAUGUACACGUGCAUAUUAGUCAAAAGUCUAGAAAACCUUCCCUUGUUUAUAGGUUAGCUCCAGAUAAAGGUCGAUCUAAAUAAACCCAGGUUGAAGAAUUCAAGAAUAAUUUAAUCUUGAAAAAAAGCAAAACCCAAAACCUCGUCCAUACAUACAUACAUACAUACAUACAUACAUACAUACAUACAUACAUACAUACAUAUAUAUAGAUACACACAUAUAAAAGAUACACUUAAGAAUUUCGAGGUUCUUGUUUUAGUUGGUUGAAGUAGUGAUUAGCUUUUAGUCUUUUUAAGUAAAGACUAUGAAAUGCAGAGAAGGAAUUGGGACUUGGGAUUAGAUGCCUCCUCCACCUGGUAUCUUGUAUCUACGUAUUGAAAAUUCUAAUAGGACAUCGAAGUUGGAGUGUUAAAAGUAUAUCUCACAUAACUUAGCUACCGGAUUUAUAACGAAGUUAUUUACAUCAAUAAAUUUACUAAUAGUUUAAGAUGCAUCUUCUAGGAAUACAAAAAUCUAUUGUCUUGUGUUCAAUUCUACGAAAUCUUUCUAUCAUAGUGGCAAAUUUAAACACCGUUCGCUAGUGAAAACAAUGGUCAUAGAUUUUUUUUUUUUUUUUAAGUAAGGUGUUGGUAAAUUUAUCAACAGCUUUAUGAAAUUGCCAACUUAUUUAGAGUUUGCAAAUUUACAAAUUUUGUACAAACUUAUCUAUUUUUAUUUGUAUAUCUUGCUAAUGCUUUGAAUUCACUAAUCUUUUUUUAAAAAUGAAAUUGAUAACUUAAAUUAGUGUGAUUUACUAAUUUGUCAAAUUAAGUUUUUAAAUUUUGGUUUACCAACUCUCUGCGAAUUAUUUACCAACAUUUAAUUUUAUUUAAUCCUCCAAAUUUCCCGUUAAAGUUACCAACUUGUAUUACUUUUUACCACCUUUUAUGUAUCUUUCCUAACUCAUCCAAUAUAUGUUUUCUGCGCAACAUGUGACGAAGACGUGAUCAUACGCAAUCACAUCUUUUUCCGUCGAUCUUUUUCAGACAAAACACACAAGACUUCUUGGGCUCUCAAUUAAUCUCUACUAUAAGAGCUAGUCAUCCCGACUCAAAUAGUGAAGGUCCACAGUAACAUUAUAGGCUCAUGCUCCCUAACACAAUUGCUGGCUGAAUCCAUGAAUUAUGUAUCGGUUUGGCCAUGGUUUGAUCAAGUCUUGGUGAUUAGCUGCACGCUGGUCAACUCCAGCUACCGAAACACACAUUAAUUAAUAAGACUCAGGAAAAUAUUCGCGCCCAAUUACUGCUAUCUGUUCAUAGGAUCCGAUCGAAUAUUUGCGUCACCCUUUUUAUGUCGGAUGUAAAUCUCUUAUUGGCUUCACCAACUCGAAGGAACUGCGACCCUUUGUUUUCUCUCGUCUUCUCUUUCUUUUCUUCCCUCGAUUUUCCUUUAUUUUCUCCGGGGUUGGUGGUAAUCGGUAGGCACGACUUUAAUAAAUUCUUUGGCCCAUGUCCGCAUUUAAAAUGUGGUCUGACCGCAUCUGAAUUGAAAAGCUAGCUACCGUCUCCCUAAGAUGACAGACUGGCGAUUUGAUCGAAAGUGGUGGGACAAAAGGGUAAUGAUAUCCAGUCUUUGGAUCGGAUGGAUGGGAUUUAUUAAUCCCCAGCUAAUCCACUUAAUUUAAUUUACUUCGUCUCAAAAUUCGGGGCUGAGUUCUUUGAAAGUUUCCUUGUGAGCACGGACCUGACUCGCACGUGAUUUGCGAAAUGAAGUGGAUCUUUUCAUGCAAUUAGAUACAAACGGCAUUGGAAAAUAUGGUUUUAUAACUUAGUCAAGUAUUAUAGUUACACCAUUACCCAAAUUUCUGAAUAUCUUUUCAUUUUCGGGAAGUAACGAAGAAGGACAUGGCUUGGGAUUUACUCUUUUUGGGUCAACAACUUAACAUAGGAUUUUUGGAACAUGACUUUUCCUUUUAAUACGGUCAACAGAUUCAAAAAUAGGGUCAUUCCUAAAUUGAUUUAAUAAUCAAUUUGGGAAUAUUUAAUCUUUAUAUAUCUUCAUGACCUACUCCCAAAGCAAGGUAGUUAUGUGGGCAUAUUUAAUCUUUAUAUAGCUUCACGACCUACUCCCAAAACAAGGUAGUUUUGUCUUUACCAGCAACUCAUCGAAAUCGCGAUUCCACAACGGAGUUUAGUUUAGGAAUCGAAUUUUCAUUUGACAUUUUAUUUGGUAUGUCCUAUGUUGCUAACAUCCCACAUGGUCAUGGAAUAAGGAAAAAAAAAUUAUGUGAAUGCAGUUUCUUUCUUGGGGAAAAGUCAAAAUAGAAAAAGGAAUCCCAUCGUAAAAUCUUUCUUCAAUAUAUGUGAAGACAAAAAGGUCCUCAUAUACUCUUCCAUUUGAGUUGAAAUUAUCACGCAUGGCACUACAUUGAGAUUUAUAGUUUGUACUGAAUUUUGCGAUUGGAUUGAAUUUUAAUUUUUAUUCAAUUUAAAUUUUAUGGUCCACAAAUGUUGCAUUUUUGUAAUCCCGAAGCGUUCGAGACUUUGACAUUAUAUCUACGAUUUUUUUGGAAUCUAAGUAUUUUAAGUUACGGUGGAAAACAAAGGAUAAAAUUUUCUUUUNNNNNNNNNNNNNNNNNNNNNNNNNNNNNNNNNNNNNNNNNNNNNNNNNNNNNNNNNNNNNNNNNNNNNNNNNNNNNNNNNNNNNNNNNNNNNNNNNNNNAAUUUAGUUUACAAGUGAAAAAUAGAAAUUGUUCAGCACGCUUGUCUCUUGCUAUCAUUGAAGUGUUUAGUGUCAUGCGAAAUAUAAGCAAUUUAUUAAUUAUUAAGUGUUCUAAAGGGUCAAUACAUGUGAGGUUAAUGAAUUAUCGAGAUAUUGAAAGUAUAGUCAAUUGUAAUCAAGAGGCAAAUGUCUUCAAUGCUUCGAUUGUCUUUGUGUUCUAUGAAAAAAAGCAAGGAAGAAUAAGGAAAAACGUAGGAAAUUUUUUGUAUAUUCUAUUUUGUAUAUCAAAUAGUGUACAAUGCUGUACAAUUAUAUCACUAGGCAUGUACAAGAAAAAGGAAAUAAAGAAUAUUACAAAAUCAAUUUCGAUAUUAGACUGAUAUUAAUUGAUCUGGCAUAUCAAUCUAAAUCCUAAAGAAUAUUGCACAAGAUCGCAUAUCUUCCAACAUUUCCCCUUAAACUGGUGGCUUGUAGAUGUCAAAGACACUUAGCUUGCUUAGUAGAUAUGCGUGUUGUCUCUGACAUAGAGGUUUGGUGAAGACAUCUGCAGGUUGUUCUGUAGUCCCAAUUCCUCUUGUUUCGAUUACCUCCUCUUGAAUCUUCUCUCAGGUGAAGUGACAGUCCACUUCUAUGGGCUUUGUUCUUUCGUGCACUAUAGGAUUGGACGCAAGUUUUGUUAUGUCGUUGUCACAAAACAACAUGCUGGGUCCCUUUGUUUGCACCCCAAGGUCCUGAAGCAAGCCUCACAGCCACACUAUUUCACAAGUGGUCUUCGCCAUAGCUCGAUAUUCAGCCUCUAUUGAAGAUAAAGACAUGGUUGGCUGCUUCUUCGUCUUCCAAGAAAGUAAAAUUUUCCCAGCAUGAUACGGAAUCCUAUAAUUGAUCUCCUGCUCAUCGGACAAGUUGCUUAAUCAGCGUCACAAUAAGUUGUCAUCUCCAUGUUGCAUCUUUUUUAAAGAAGAAUUCCAAGUCCUAGACAUUUCUUCAAAUACUUAACAACCUUUAGAGCGUGUGGGACUGCUUUGACUUGUGCAUAAACCGACUGAGUGUCUGCACAUCAUAACAUAUAUCUGGUUUAGUCAUGGUAAAAUAUAUGAGCUUUCCUACCAGCCUUUGAUAACCUGAUGGGUCUCUGUAUCAUCUUGGAGAUUUCUUUCAUCACGGUCCACCGUAGUUAACUUGACAUUUUGUUCGAUUGGAAUAGCUGCCAAUUUGCUUCCCGAUAAACCUGCUUCUGAUAUGAUCUCUAGCACGAAUUUUCGUUGAAUGAUGGAAAUCCCUUGAUUUGAUCGAGCAAUUUCUAUUCUUAGAAAAUAUUUGGGUGAUCCCAAGUCCUUUAUGUGAAAUGUCGAAUGCAGGUAUUCCUUGAAGCUCUUUAUGACAAUUGCAUCUACCCAUAAUAAGUAUAUCAUCAAUGUAUAUCAUUAAAAAUAUGGAUGACAUACCUUUUGUCCAUGUAAAAAUAGCGUAGUGAUAUUUAGACCGUUUGAAACUUGUUGCUGUGAGAGCAUUCGCGAACUUGGCAUACCAUUGCCUAGAUGCUUGUUUGAGACCAUAAAGGGAUUUGCGGAGACGACAUACUUUGUUCUCCCCCUGUCUCCAUAAACCCUGAGGAAGUUUCAUAUAAAUUUCUUCAUCCAAAUCACCAUGGAGAAAUGUAUUGUGGACAUCCAUUUGGUGUAAUGACCAAUCUUGGGAAGCCGUAACCGAUAGGAAGGAGUGAACCGUGACAUCUUUGGCCACUGGAGAGAAGGUCUCGUGAUAGUCGAAUCAUUCUCACUGUGUAAACCCUUUGGCCACGAAUCGAGCUUUACAUCGUUCAAUCAAUCCAUCUACUCGAAACUUUAUCUUGUAAACCCAUUUACAUCCUAUUGCCUUACGAUUAGUAGGUAAAGUCACAAGAUCCCAUGUAUGGUUGUCAUUUAAUGCUUGUAAUUCUGCUGGCAUGGCCUUUUGCCAGUGUGGAUCCAUGGAUGCUUCAUCAUAACUAGCUGGUUCCCUUUCUUCAGAUAUGCAACUAAUACAUUGUCUAUGUUCUGGAGACAAUUGAUUGAAAGAGACAUAGGACGAGAUAGGAUAAUGAAUACCUAGUGAGUUGUGUGUGGCACAAAUAUAAUCCUUAGUCCAAGUUGGUGGGCAUGUGAUGCACCCUGAAUGUCGAGGAGGAUUUGGACGUGAUGGUAGAGGCUCUUCCAUAGGUGGUGCCGUCAUGAGUUUGGAGCUUCUUCAGUAGUUGCAUCCUCAGAUCUUGGAGAAAUUUCCUCAGCAGUAGUCCAAUUGCUUGUGGAAGCACUGUUGAAGGUUCCUGGAUUUCCUAUCACAACAUAAUCAAGAUCCUUGGAUAUAUCGUCUUCAGGGAAAAUAACUCGAGAAGGAUUGAGAUCGUUUUCUUUUGAGGAUUGAUCUUCAGCAAAUGGAAACAUGUCCUCAUGGAAGACUACAUCUCUACUUAUGAGGAAUUCUCUUGUAGAGGGUUGAAACACACGAUACCCCUUCUGAAGAUUUGGAUAUUCCAUAAAUAUGCACGGUUGGGCACGAAGACUCAUUUUGUUCGGAGGGCCUGUCGCAAUGACGUUGCAUAAACACCCAAAAAUUCUUAGGUGAUCCAUUUUUGGUUUCUUUCGAAAAAGGACUUCGAAAGGGCUUCGACCGUUCAACACUUUCGUUGGCAUCCAAUUAAUUAAGUACACUGCCGUGAUCAUGCAUUCUGCCCAAAAAUUAUUUGGAAUAGAGGCCUGAAACUUCAAGGCACGUGCCACUUCCAGAAUAUGUCGAUGCUUUCUUUCAACUACUCCAUUUUGUUGUGGAGUGUAUGUGCACGAACUUUCAUGCAAGAUGCCAUAGGAUGAAAAUAUUGAUGCGCAUUCAUGGUUGAAAAAUUCUCUUCCAUUAUCUAUCCUAAUCCGCUGGAUAGAUUUUCCAAAUUGGGUCUUUGAUAAAGAGAUAAAUUCCUUUAAGUGAGAUAGAACUUGACCCUUAGUUUGCAAGAGGAAGAUCCAUGUUGCUCGAGAAUGAUCAUCAACAAUAGUAAGAAAAUAUUUUGAUCCAUCAUGAUUAGGUGUAUGAUACGGUCCCCAUACAUCAGCAUGAAUUAGCGAGAAAGCACUAGUGGAACGACUCAUGCUAACUGGAAAGGGUGCACGUAAUUGUUUUGUAAGUGGGCAGAUAUGACACUGAGAGUAAGGAAAUAAAGCACCGUGGCCCAUUCUAGAAUGCAAAAGGAAAUUUUUAUCAUUGGUAGUGACAUUACGCAAUGAUUGUUUAUUGAAGGAAACUUGAGAUAAAUAUAAAGUUCUUGGAAUGCUAGUCCAAAAAAAUAGUCCGUCGGAAAGAUUACCCAAACCCAUCAGUUUCAUGUCGAAAGGGCCUGAAAGAAACAGAUAUCGGCAUUGAAGAAAAUACAACAAGAGUUUUCCUUGCAGCUCUAGACACAAAAAUCAGAUUGAACUGGAAAUCUGGAACAUAGAAGACAUUUCUCAGUGUUAUUUGAGGGCUAAGGUUCACAAUUCCUAUAGUGGUCACAUAGGUAAUGCUUCCAUUUGGCAAUCUUACAGAAACAGGAAUACUUAAAUUUUCAUGAAUAAUGGAAAAGAAGCCUUUAUCACAAACAAUAUGAUCAUUAGCCUCUGAGUCAAUCAUCCAAGAAUUUCGGGAAAUAGAGUAUUAGGCAAUGAGAAAUACCUGAGAAGCUACUUCCUUUGUUGGAAAUGUCCAUUUUUUGCAAUGCCUUUAUAAACUGCUGAUACUACCCUUGAGUGAUAGGCUGAUCAUUAUUUGAACCUAAGGUCUGAUAAGCUGCUACUGAAGAUUCCUUCCCCCAUUUUCCUUUUUCACCGGGCUUGUAGUGCAAUUUCUAGCAAUUAUUAAUGGUGUGGUGGGGUCGCUUGCAGUAUUCACAAAAUAACUUAUUUUCCCUUUUAUAUUUGGCCCAUAUGCCUUUGAACUCGUGGAAAAAUGUGGACCGUUGGAUCCUUUAAAAAUAGCCACGUGCCCACCGUCCGAUCAUGAUGAGGAAUUGGGCCCUUUCCGGUCGUUUGAUUGCGCCUCACAAUCUGGACCGUCCAUUUCAGACACUUUAAAAGCAUUUGAAGUUGUCCCAAACCCUAGCUCUUCUAGCCGCAUGCCCUGUUUUGGAGUCUUCUGGUUUUGGUCUCCCUUCUCACCGCGAGUAGCCAAGGCCAGCAACUCUACUCCUCUCGCAUGCUCCGUUGCCAUGAGUCUCUGACUCUCUUCUUAGAUGGCCAACUGGAAAAUACAGUUGAGCGAUGGCAUGGGUUCCAUGGCUAAGAUUUGAGAUCUGAAUGUCAGCUAAGAGUCGUUUAAAAUGAGCAAGAAACGGGUAACUUUCUCUCUGUCUCGUAUUGCUUUGUACUGCUACAAAGUGGCCUCAGGCCAUUUGAGUUUCUCCUUUGCUGCCUCCAACUUAUUCCAGAGAGCUGAUAACUUAUUAAAAACCAUUGUGAUGCUCAUAUUCCCCUGUUUUAGUUCGGAAAGUGCUUGGGUCAAGGAAAAAAAUUUGCACAGUCCAAUUUUCCAUACAUUUCUCAUAUAGUGUCCCACGUCCUUUUCAAAUCUUUUGUGGGAGUAAGUCUGGUUGCAAUUUCUGGAUUGAUGCAGUUCCCAAUCCACUUUCUUACUAGUUUAUUACACUUCUUCCAUUGUCUCGCCAUCCUCUCGUCUGUCGGAAUGGGAGUAGAUCCAUCAAUAAAUCCCUCUUUAUCUUUAGUAACAAGGGCUUGACGAAAUUCUUGAGCCCAGAUUGAGUAGUUAUGAGAUCCCCUUAGUUGUUGACUGAUGAGUCGUAUCUUCGGUCCAUCAGCGGUAGAUACGUACAAUGGAUCACCGAGUUCUGGCUGAUCAGAAACGACUGAGAGAGGGUAUGGCAAGAAUCCGGGUCUUAUUGUCGGGUAGGUAUUUGAACCCAUACUUGGAUUAAGCAACCCACUGGAUAAUACCGCAUCUUGAUUUCCAGAUCCAGUAUCUACGCUUGCCCGGUCUAUGGUUGGCGAGCCAUUAUUGGGCUGGACAUUGUCUUCGGAAAUUUGAAUUCCAGGCCAUGGAGUACUUGGGCUUGGCUCGUAGUACCAUGGGCUGGGCUGAACAAGAACGGGUACCCAUUGGUAUGCUUGACCCGCCAUGGCCUGACCUGAUGUGGAUUGGCUUGGAAUGGGUUGCCCCAGACUAAGCUGCCAUGGAAAAAAACCCGCAUUUGGUUGGACUUGGAAUCUAGCGGCUUCAGCAAGCAAGUUCACAGUAGAGUUUUGAGUUUCUUCUUUUGUGAUACGCUUUCUAGUAGAUGGUGGUUGAUCUUCUGCCAUGGUGAUGGUAAGAUGUUCCUUUUCUUCACUUGCUCUUUUUCCUCAGAAAUCGAUUCCUACACCGGAGUGCUAACGUUAUUCUGCUGGUUAGCGUGUUCUUCAAAAAUACCGACAGGCAAUCAAAGAGGAGAGGUGCGGAAGCUGAAAUUGAAUUAGAAGCGAAGCCUGCUCUGAUACCAUGAAAGAAAGCAAGGAAGAACAAGGAAAAAUGUAGGAAAAUGUUUGUAUAUUCUAUUCUAUAUAUCAAAUAGUGUACAAUGCUCUACAAUUAUAUCACUAGGCAUGUACAAGAAAAAGGAAAUAAAGAAUAUUACAAAAUCAAUUAUGAUAUUAGACUGAUAUUAAUUGAUCUGGCAUAUCAAUCUAAAUCCUAAAGAAUAUUACAUAAGAUCGCAUAUCUUCCAACAUUCUAGACAAUUAGUAUCUCGAAAUUGAAUUACACAUAUAAAACAAAUGUCCAUGACUUUCAUUAUGACUUACGUUAAAAAGUACCCGACACAUUUGUUAAGCAAUUUGGAUAAGCAUGGCACCACAUCGAGAUUUAUAGUUUGCAUUGAAUUUUGUUAUUUGAUUGAAUUUUAAUUUUUAUUCAAUUAAAAUUUUACGGUCCACAAAUGUUGAUUUUUUUUUUUAUAAUCUGAAGCGUUCGAGACUUUCACAUUAUAUCUAUGAUUUUUUUUUUUGGAAUCUAAGUAUUUUAAAUUACGAUGGAAAAAAAGGGAAUAGAUUUUUCUUUUAAUUAUUUGCAAAUAAACAAGCUCGUCUUAUUAAUAAAUUACAUCACUUAGAUUACUAGUGAAAAACAUAAAUUCUUCGGCACGCUUGUCCCUCGCUAACAUCGAGCAUCAUGCGAAAUAUAAACAAUUUGUUAAUUAUUAAGUGUUCUAAAGGGUCAAGACAUGCAAGGUUAAUAAAUUAUCGAGAUAUCAAAAGUAUAGUCAAUCGUGAUCAAGUUGCAAAUACUUUCAAUGCUUCGAUUGUCUUUGCAUUCUACACAAUUAGUGUCUCAAAAUUGAAUUACACAUAUAAAAUAGAUGUCCAAGACUUUCAAUAUGACUUAUGUUAAAAAGUACCCGGCGCACUUAAUAAGCAAAUUUAAUAAGAAAAUAUUCUAUUUCGAGAGUAUCAACUGUACGUAUUAAGAAAGAAGUUGGUGCGUAGAAACUUUACUUAUUUUCUUUGUGUUGAAUUGUUCAUCAAAAAAUGUCUUUGGGACCCGCUUUGUGACAUAUCCGUUCCUCUGCUCUGUGGGAGGACCCGCAUUGGUUGGUGCAUUGGUUUGGUUGGUAGGAAUAACAUGUGUUCUCUCCCGAAUGACAUUGUCGGAACCCAUUUCUUAACUUUUGCAAAGACGGAGUGUUUUAUUUAUUGCAAGCUCCACUAGUUUCUGAAAAGACUUGGUGCCCCGGAAUCAAGGACUCCCCAUUCCGCCUCGACGGAAUCCUGAACCCGACUGACCUAGAAUGGACAUAAACACGAUAAUAAUUUCCAUUGGCAUAUGUUAUCGGACUGCACAUUUCAUAAGAAUUGUCAAAAGAAUAUGUCCAAAAUGGAAUGGGUACGAGUAAACGCGACAUAUAUUAAAAAUCAGAGGGUAUGACCAGUUCCUACGCAAAAUGAUGUGAGAUGGAUUGUUUCAAUGAAUUUGGUGAGCACAAUAGUCAAAUAGUGGGGUUGGUGACCGCACGACGCGGGCUCUUGCAAGGCGUGUCAAUACCAUGGAGUCAGAUAAGAUCAUUUUAUAGUCCCACUUGUACUUCAAAAAUACUGAGAAGAGCACAAGUAAUUUGAGCAGAAAAAGUAAUUUAGUGCUAAUUUCUAGGGAUCACAAUUUCAUGGAUUUUUUUUUAAAUCAAUUUUUGGUCUGUGCCCUUAAAAUCAUUUUCCUUUCAAAGAUUAAAGUAAAUUGCCAAAUUGGGAAAUAAACAUUUUACUAAAAAGACAAAAAUAUUGAGUAAAAGAAAUGUCAAAAUGAAACGAAAUAAGCCUAAAAGAAAUCGAUCACUCUUAUCUUUUUUUCCAUUUAACAUCAUCAUUAAAAGAAUUUGUCUUGAUAUUACUUAUUUGAUUCCUCCAAUGAUGCAUUUCCGAGGUCUUCCUUCCCGUGACGUAACCCGAGAGCCAUCCUCAUUGUUCCCCAACUGGGGAGGCCAUUUCUUGUUAGUGCCUGGUGGAACAGGGUCAAUGUGCCUAAUCAUCACUUAAACGACACCAAACACCGGUUCACUCCCUCCCAUGAUUUCCCAAUUCAAAAUCUCCACCCGGUCGGGAAUUUCAAUUCGGAAACCAGCUUUGACCAGUCGACUAACCCGUCAACCUAACCUACUCGACACUCAAUGGCGGGCGGGCCUCUCCUCUAUUUAAACGUCCGAUUUGUAGGUGAACAGACUCAGGAAAUUCACUAGCUUCUUUAGCACAUGUGAAUUUCCUUCAGAGAAAAACACACACAAAAAACGCCACCGCGCUCUUCCUCUCUCUCGCCAAGCCCUCACCUCGAUCUCGCGCUUGCUCGCUCCUCGCUCGAUUUCGACUCCUCUUCUCGGGCUCUCGGCCGCUCUAGACGUUCGCAUUCACACGAGCGCGAAGAUGGACAUGGACACGGCAGCGUGCAACGGCAAGGGCUCCCUCGGGCUCUGCGCGGGGGCAGGCGGUGACCCGCUCAACUGGGGCGUGGCCGCCGCGGCCCUCACGGGGAGCCACCUCGAUGAGGUGAAAAGGAUGGUCGAGGAGUCCCGGCGGCCUGUGGUCCGCCUCGGCGGUGAGACGCUGACCAUCGCACAGGUGGCGGCCAUCGCGGGGCGGGAGGCUGGCAUGGCGGUCGAGCUGUCGGAGGCGGCCCGGGCGGCAGUCAAGGCCAGCAGCGACUGGGUCAUGGAGAGCAUGAGCAACGGCACGGACAGCUACGGGGUCACCACCGGCUUCGGCGCCACCUCGCAUAGGCGGACCAAGCAAGGUGGUGCUCUGCAGACGGAGCUCAUAAGGUAAAAAAAGAAAAAAAAAUGUGCUACUUCGAUAUAUUUCUUUAAAUUCUCAUUCGGUUGUUUUUAUUAACAAAUAUUCGCAGAUAUAUCGAAAAUACUUGUCAGGCAAUCGAUAAUGAAAAAAAAAUGCUGAUUUUAGGAGAUGGGUGCGAUAAUACGUUAUUCGGGAAUUGUAAUUAUCAAGAAGUGCAUAUUUAAAAUAAAAAAAAUCAAGUAAAAUCCUUUGUUUUAAUUUAAAAUUAACACCUGUCAUAUGUGGUAUAAAUGGUCCCUCGUGAAGGGCUGCCAAGUGCUGGCUAAGCUUCCUUUCCAUAAAAGAUAUAUACCCAAACGUGCAAGUAUCAAUCCAAAGGCCGACAUCAAUUUCUCUAUAUUUUUUAAAUAUUAGGUAACCAAAAAUAAUAUGGGAGAAGAUUAAUUAAUUUCGAAGACAACCCGUAAUAAUUACUUUUUGAAUACCUAAUUUUUCAUUUUUUCAAUUAAUGAGACUUACCUUUGCUAUAAUCAAAUAAGUGUCUAAAUCGAUAUUCACAUUUCCUUUGCUAUAAUUAAUAAUAUGUGGUUGACGAAAUUUUCCCAUUGAACCAGGUUCUUAAACGCCGGCAUAUUCGGCAACGGGACCGAGUCGUGCCACGUGCUGCCCCACUCGGCGACCCGGGCCGCGAUGCUCGUGAGGAUCAACACCCUCCUCCAAGGCUACUCAGGCAUCCGGUUUGAGAUCCUGGAGACCAUGGCCAAGCUCCUCAACCGCAACAUCACCCCGUGCCUGCCUCUCAGGGGUACUGUCACGGCCUCAGGCGACCUGGUCCCCUUGUCCUACAUCGCCGGGCUUCUGACGGGCAGGCCCAACUCAAAGGCGGUCGGGCCAAAUGGCGAGUCCCUGAACGCCGUCGAGGCCUUCCGCCUUGCCGGGAUCAAGCACGGGUUCUUUGACCUGCAGCCCAAAGAGGGCCUCGCGAUCGUGAAUGGCACGGCAGUCGGGUCUGGGCUCGCUUCCAUUGUCCUGUUCGAGGCGAACAUCCUGGCCGUCCUCUCAGAGGUUCUGUCGGCGAUCUUCGCCGAGGUGAUGCAAGGGAAGCCGGAGUUCACUGACCACUUGACCCACAAGCUCAAGCACCAUCCCGGACAAAUUGAAGCUGCAGCUAUAAUGGAGCACAUCUUGGAUGGGAGCUCCUACGUGAAGGACGCUCAAAAGGUCCACGAGAUCGACCCUCUCCAGAAGCCGAAGCAGGACCGAUACGCGCUCCGCACGUCCCCGCAGUGGCUCGGCCCCCAGAUCGAAGUGAUCAGGGCCGCCACCAAAAUGAUCGAGAGGGAGAUCAACUCUGUCAACGACAACCCGCUGAUCGAUGUCUCCAGGAACAAGGCUCUCCAUGGAGGGAACUUCCAGGGGACCCCGAUUGGCGUUUCCAUGGACAACACCCGUCUCGCCAUCGCCUCCAUCGGCAAGCUCAUGUUCGCGCAGUUCUCCGAGCUCGUUAACGACUUCUACAACAACGGGCUGCCCUCUAACCUGUCCGGGGGACGGAACCCGAGCCUGGAUUAUGGCUUCAAGGGAGCCGAGAUCGCCAUGGCCUCAUACUGCUCGGAGCUGCAGUUCCUUGCCAACCCUGUGACCAACCAUGUCGAGAGCGCGGAGCAACACAACCAGGACGUGAACUCCUUGGGCCUGAUCUCGUCGAGGAAGACUGCCGAGGCCGUUGACGUGCUGAAGCUCAUGUCCUCCACCUUCCUGGUCGCCCUGUGCCAGGCCAUCGACCUGAGGCACCUGGAAGAGAACCUCAAGAGCGUGGUCAAGAACACGGUGAACCAAGUGGCCAAGAAGGUCCUCUACGUUGGGUCCAACGGCGAGCUCCACCCGUCGCGGUUCAGCGAGAAAGACCUGAUCAAGGUGGUCGACCGGGAGCACGUCUUCGCCUACAUUGAUGACCCCUGCAGCGCCACGUACCCCCUGAUGCAGAAGCUGAGGCAGGUCCUCGUGGACCAUGCACUGGACGACGUCGACCGGGAGAAGAACCCCAGCACCUCCAUCUUCCAGAAGAUUGGGGCUUUCGAGGAGCAGCUCAAGGCACUCCUCCCGAAGGAGGUUGAGAACGCGAGAGCUCAGUUCGAGAGCGGGAACUCGGCGAUCGCUAACAAGAUCAGGGGGUGCAGGUCGUACCCAUUGUACAGGUUCGUGAGGGAAGAGCUCGGGACCGGUUUGCUCACGGGGGAGAAGGUCGGCUCACCGGGCGAGGACUUUGAUCUGGUGUUCUCCGCCAUGUGCGAGGGCAAGCUGAUCGAUCCUUUGCUGGAGUGCUUGAAGGACUGGGAUGGUGCUCCGCUUCCCAUCUGUUAGGAACUUUUCCAAAUCCUGAAGACUGCCUCAUAAUUUAAUUUGCCCUAUUCUUGGUAUGUACUUAGAGAGUUUUUCAUGGUCGAGAAACUGCGGUUAAAAUUGUAAUGUCUCUUAUGUCUUUUGUUCAGUUCUUUCUUAUUCAAACCCCCCCACCAGGAUGUCUAUUUGUACUUGGAACUUCAUCAGUGUAACAACAAUGUUGAAACACGUGAAGGAAAAUAUUAUACAACAUACAUUUCAUUACAUUCUUCAUUCUUAUAAAGGAUCGCGACAUUUGCUCUGCAUUGUGAGCUAAUUGUUAUCGGGUACAUCUUAUUGUAUCUCCCAACUUGACCCUACUAAAUGUAGAAUUGGAAUGAACAUGUAUUUCUUAAAGGGAGCUAACCUCAUUAGGAAUUUGUGUGGACUUAUCCUACUCGAUCAAGUGGGUUGCGUAUUAAGAGUCAAUAUUAUAUCUAAGUUCAUGAAAAGGAACACGUUAAUAUAACGUGAAAACACAGUCAUACAAUAUAUGCAUCGUGAUUGAUUUAGUCUGUCACAUUACUUUAAUUAAAUGAAUGUAUAUCAUUUUAGGGCUUCUCAUGAAUAAAAAAGUUAAAGGCUACACAUCUUUGCUUAGGCCCACAAUGAUGCCCGACCAACCUCUUUGGCAUGACUUUUGGAAGAGGUUGACCUAUCGAGCAUGAAUUUCUAUGUGGGUUGGCCCGAAAAGGCAAUAAAUCUUUUGGGAUGGGACGUAUAUUCCAAAUUGAGCAGUUACCUUGAGAGUAGGAUGACUCUAUGAUUGGCAAUUAUGAGAGAUUGUUCCAAGACAUAUAUCACAACUUUGGAUUUUCCUCGAUGCACUCUGCCUAACCCAUGUGGAGGUUUCUGCCCAAAAUGGUAACCUAGCUAGCAAAACUGAAGUGUCAUAUGGAUCUAUUUAGGACAUGUCACAGUCGAUUCCUAGUGUUCGAACCUCAAAAUUGUGGCCCCAAAGCUGAAGAGAAUCUCAAGGAGUGCCGGAUACCUGGAGUGCCAAAAUUUGGCAUGAAGGGACAAUUAAAUGCCAAAAGUUAGGAAAGUGACACUUGAGUGCCAAAAUUGAAGCAAAAUUGAUCACUUAAGUGGCAUUCCGGCCAAAAUGCUGACGUGGCGAUUUUCUGGCAAAAUAAGUGCAAAAGGGCGUUAUUUUGACGUUGACGUGGUAAAAAAUUAAUAUAAAAAUUAGUUAAAUAAAUUUAAAACUAAAUUUAUUUAAAACAUUUUAAAAUAAAAAUACAAAUAUUAAACAAUUAAAAAUUAAAAAUUACAUUUAUUUAUUUAUUUUAAAAAAAGGGGGAAGGGGUGACUAAAGGCUGAGCCAUCGCCAUCGCCAUCGCUGCCUCCCCACCGCCGACGGGAAGGACCGGCGAUGGAGGGGGGAGGGUCGGCUAGAGUCGCCGAGCCCUUGCCAGGGGCCGACGACCUCGGUCGACCGGCGGCGAGGACCUGCAAGCCCUCGCUCCCAAUCUGGGAGAGGGUCGCGGUCCUUGCCUAAAUCCCCGCCCUUGCUCGACCGAGCCAAGGGCCACUGCCCGCUAAGGUUCGCAACCCUCGCCUAGAUCGGGGGCAAGGGCUCGCAAGCCCUCCCCCGGCCGGGCCAAGGGCCAUCGCCCGCUGAUGAACUUCAACAUAAAAAGUUUCAAAUGAUAUAAUAAAAAAGAUUGUUAUUUGUUUAUGCAUAAGUCCCAUCAAAUGAAACCGUAGGAAUCGGAAACAAAAGGGCAAUGAGAUCUUGGGAAAACUCGUAAAAUAAUAGUUGCAAUACAUUUGAGAGAGAGAUAGAUUCCCUCCAAGUUCUUGGUAUAGAUUAUGAAGUGACGAGCACAUAUGCAUGUCCGAAUCACUUCUUAAUGUCCAAAGGGUUCCAAAUUCCAACGUAAUGAGGUAUCAAUGCCAUUACAUGUUACUUUAAUCAACUCUUGUACAUGUGGAUGUCAAGUCACGAGCGGUUCCGUGUUGGAAGACAUGGAGCAUGAGUCAUCAAAAAAUGGAUCUUGAAGCAGAGAAUCCAUACUUUUCUGAAAGUUGGAGGUAGAAUUCAAGUUGAAAUUGAUGAAAGCAGGUAACCACGUUUGAACUUCAAUUUACUAUUAACUCGACGGUAAACCCACACUACCUUCCAUGCCCUUAUGUGCGCUUCGCUAUUAUCAAACCAUAACUCAUCGAAUUUGUAUAUGUUGGAGAAAACUUCAUUAUUUGUUUUGAAGCUGACAAAAUGUUUCCAUCAAUCUAGUCUGAAGACUUGCAGACUCUUUCAUCAAAGUCUGAAGACCGCCAGACUACCAGACUCAAGAUUUAAAGUUUGCCCUCAUUGAUAGUUUCUAGAACGUCGAAGAAGAUUUAUCCAGAAUUGAGUAUUUCUUUACGGAUUUGAUUCGAGCAGCUAAAGAAGAUCUCACGGCUGGAGAAAGCAUCUCAAGAUCUAUUAUUCAUUUUUGAUUAAUUCGGGUAAUUUGGAUCCGUUGAUUGGCAAAGUAUACUUUGAAAGUUCUACUUAUGGAAACCUAGAUCCUGAUUGUAUGGACGAGUAAGAUUGGUGGGCUAUCAUCACAUUCCUUAAGUAAAUCAAGAUCUCCCUAAAUUGAUUAUGUCCAACGGGUAGAUUGAAAGAACUCCUUUGAAAGGUGCCAACGGUUAUGAAGGCAUGGAGGAGUAUAUAAGGAAGACGCUCUAGUUAUUCGAGUGUGUGCGUGAUAGAUAAAUUCCAAAGUCUGAAACUCCUUGUUCUUUGCUGAUUCAAAUGUUGAGCGUAAAUUUGUACUCAAAAGAGAGUUUAUGUACUCAUUUAAAUUGAAGUAUUUUUUACUUCAGAGUUAAUGAUCCAUAGCUAGUAUGUUGGCUCCAGGUUUGGUUGAAGGACAAAGCAACACCAGACCGCCUUAUUUUGAUGGAAAUGAAUACAAUAUAUGGAAAACAAGAUGAAAGCAUUCUUAAGAUCGAAAGAUCCUUUGGAAUGGGAUGUGGUAGACAAAUGAAUCAUUCCUAAAGCUACAACAGUCUCAAAAAGGGGAAAAGAAGCUGUUGAAGCUAGCAAGAUGACUCAAGAAGAGAUAACCAAGAAACAAACUCUUGAUGCAAAAGCAAAUUAUUCCUUAUAUUGUGCAUUAUCUCCUAUUGAAUAUAAUAGAAUAUCUUCUUGUAAAACAGCUAAAGAAGUCUAGGAUAGGCUGCACAUCACCUAUGAAGGAACCGAUUGAGUGAAAAAAACUAGAAUCAAUAUUCUGCUCAGUCAAUAUGAAGCCUUCAAGAUGAAAUUAGGAGAAUCUACCACUGACAUGUUUAGUCGUUUUACAGAGAUCGAGAAUGGUCUUGAGUAUCAAGGUCAACCAAUCUCUAGACCCAUGAAAGUUAACAAACUGUUGCGUGGACUUUUCAAAGAUUGGAAUCACGUAAAGACCUCAAUAAGGGAGACACAAAGGAGCAUGUCACUCUCCAUUGACGAAUUGGUUGGCACUCUUCAGUCUUAUGAAGUGGAGCAAAUCAAUGAAGAUGAAAAUCCCAAAGUUAAAAAAAAAAAAAAAAAAAAAAAAAAAAAAAAAAAAAAACCAUUGCUUUAAAAUCUAAUGAUGAUUCUGAUGUUACAGAUUCUGAAGACGAUAUGGACGAUGAAGAGAUUGCUCUCAUGAUAAGAAGGUUCAGAAAAUUGAAUAAAAAGGGAAGAAGAUUCAAUUGGAAGAAACAAAAUUCUCAAAAGUUUCAAAAUAAAUGAGCUGAGGACAAUGAAUCCAAUAAAUAUGUGAUUUGUUUUGAAUACAAGAAAAAUGGACACAUCAGACCCAACUGUCCCUUGCUAAAGAAAAAGAAAGGAAAAGCUAAGAAAUACAGAAAUGCGCUCAAAGCAGAAACUUGGAGUGAUACCGAAUGCGAAGGGAGCGAUGAUGAUUAUGUUAAUAUUUGUCUAAUGGCACGAUCAGAAUCAGAUUCAGACUCUGAGACAGAUACAGACUCAGACUCAGAUAGUGAAAUCGAGGUAAGUAAUUUAAAAUUCCUACUAAAGUCUCUAAAUAUAUUGAUGAACUGUGUCUGAGUCUCAAAACCUCUCUUAAGAGGAUUUUCGAGCUAAAAAGGGAAAAUUCUGCACUGAAACAAUAGGAGUUGUUUGGAAAGAAAAUGUCGAAAAUUUAGAAAAAAAGUAUUAUUACUUUAAAAGAAAAUGCAGACUCUCUUUCAAAAGAAAACACACUUUUGAAAAAUGAUAUCUCAAGUAUUUCAAAAAGGUUUUCUAUAGGAUCUGAGAAAUUGGAAAAGAUUCUUUCAGCACAAAGACCUUACUUUAACAAAUCAGGAUUAGGAAUGACUUCUGAAACCAUUCCUCUAAUUGAUUUUCCAAAAGUAAAGGAAAGAAUCAAACAAAGACUUACAAAAGAUUUUUAUAGAAAUCAUUUUCAAAAAGUCUUUGUAAAACCUGUUGGCCAUAGUGCUCUUAAAUGUUCUAAGUGCAACAGCUCAGAACAUUUUGAGAAAGAAUGUCUCAUGGUUUGGAAACCUGUUAAGAAGGUUUGUGUAAAGACCAUAUAUUGCACUAACUCCAUUGGACCUAAGAAAAUGUGAGUACCAAAGAAAGUUUAAGUUUAUUUUUUAAAUGCAGGUCACUAUUAAGAAAAAAGUCAAAUGGUACUUGGAUAGUAGAUGCUCAAGACAUAUGAUAAGGGAAUGAAGUUGUUUUAUAAAGCUUAUGCAAGUUAACGGUGGAAAAGUCUCUUUUGGAGGAAAUAUCAAAUGAAGAAUUGUCGGAUGCGGUUAAGUAAAGAUUGGAAGCCUCACAAUUAACAACGUUUCCUUAGUGGAAGGACUCGACUACAACUUGCUGAGUAUCAGUCAACUGUGCGACACAGGUUUCAAAAUCAAUUUUCAAGAAUGAAUAUGUUCGGGAACCAGUAAAUACUUCUCUCAGACUUUCACGGGGCAAAGACAUGGGAACAUCUAUCUUUUGGACAUCAAACCAGAAAAAUCUCAAUGUCUAAUUUUAAUUCAAGAGGAAGCUAAUAUUUGGCAUAAAAAACUUGGCCAUAUCAACAUGAAGCAAAUAGUCAAGAUCUCUGCAAAGAAGCUUGUUCGUGAACUACCCAAUCUGACAUACCAAAAAUCUUAUCUUUGCACACCAUGCGUGUGGGGAAAACAUGUUAGAAGUUCUUUUAAACCAAUAAAUUAAGUUUCCACUAAUCGUGUACUGCAGCUCCUACAUAUGGAUCUUUUCGGACCAACUAGGACUCAGAGCAUUGGUGGAAAGAAAUAUUGCCUAGUAAUAGUGGAUGAUUAUUCACGAUUUACUUGGGUAUAUUUUUUGGCAAGUAAGUCUGAAACUUUUUCUUAUUUCAUAAAGUUUGCUAAGAAAAUACAAAAUGAGAAAUGAUAUGUUAUUUCAAGUAUCCGGACAGACCAUGGAGGUGAGUUUGAAAAUUAAGAUUUUGCUAAAUUCUGUGAUGAAUCUAGUUUUCAGCAUGUGUUCUCAUCUCCAUACACUCCAGAACAGAAUGGAGUUGUGGAAAUGAAGAAUAGAUCAUUGCAAGAAAUGACUAGAAAACUUUUAAUUGAAAGCAACAUUUCUUCUCGUUUCUACAGCAUGUUAUAUUAUUAAUAAGAGUCUUCUUAAGGCCUAUUAUGGAGAAAACUCCCUAUGAGUUGUUCAAAGGUAAGAAGCCAAUUGUUUCCUAUUUUCAUGUGUUUGAUUGCAAAUGUUUUAUAUUGAAAAAUGCAAAUGAUCGAACUGGUAAGUUUGAAGAAAAAUCAAACGAAUGAAUCUUCCUUGGAUAUUCAACCACCAGCAAAGUCUACAGAGUAUACAACAAAAAGACUCAAUCUGUGGAGGAAUCGAUAAAUGUCAAAUUUUAAGAUCUUAUACAAAAUCAAUCGAUCUAGACUCAACCUGAAGAAUCUAAACCUGCUCCAGACUCUACAAAGUCUAAAUCCUCAGAAGCAGCUCAGAUUUCAUAAGGUCAACAACGAAUGAUCGUUGAAGAAUUAAAUGAAGAAAAAGAUCAGCAGUUUGUCAGACUAACCAGCAACUGGAAGCACAAGUCUAGUAAUCCCAAAGAACUCAUUAUUGACGACAUUGAUGAAGGGAUUCAUACAAGAUCCAAAAGGCAUGAAGAGUCUAGCGUUGUAGCUCUUAUUUCUGAAAUAGAACCCAAGAGCAUAGAAGAAGCUUUAACUUAUGGAAGUUGGAUUGAAGCUAUGCAAGAAGAACUUAGGCAAUUCAGUAUUAACGAUGUCUAGGAAUUGACUCAUAAACGAAAAGGUAAAUCUGUUAUCGGAGCUAAAUGGGUUUUCAGGAACAAGAUGGACUAGAAAGGAAAAGUUAUAAGGAAUAAAGCAAGACUUGUAGCCAAAGGAUAUAUGCAAGAAGAAGGGAUAGACUAUGAUGAGACUUACGCUCCAGUAGCAAGGUUAGAAGCAAUUAGAUUAUUACUUGCUUUUGUUUGUUAUAAGAAUUUCAGGUUAUUUCAAAUGGACGUUAAAAGUGCAUUUCUAAAUGGAUUUAUCCAAGAGGAAGUCUAUGUGGAACAACCUCCCGGUUUUGAAGACCCAAGGAAAUCAGACUCUAUAUUCAAACUGAAAAAUGCGCUAUAUGGUUUAAAGCAAGCACCUCGAGCUUGGUACGACGGGUUAAGUAAGUUUUUAAUCCAAAAUGACUUUGUUAAAGGUAAAGUAGACACUACCUUGUUUAUUAAAAGAGAAAGUAAAAACUUUUUAAUAGUUCAAAUCUAUGUUGAUGAUAUUAUUUUUGGAUCACCUAACGAAAUUAUGUGCAAGAAAUUUUCUAAGUCUAUGAAGGAUGAAUUCGAGAUGAGCAUGAUGGGUGAACUAUCCUUCUUUUUCGGACUACAAGUAAAACAAUUGAAAAAAGGGACUUUCAUUCACCAAGAAAAAUAUGCUAAAGAACUUGUUAAAAUGUUCAAUUUGGAGAAUUGCAAAAAGACUAAUAUACCAAUGUCAAGUUCUUCGAAAUUGGACAAAGAUGAAGGAGGAAAGAAAGUUGACCAAAAGCUAUACAUGAGUAUCAUUGGUUCACUUCUUUAUCUUACUGUCUCUAGACCUGACAUUUUGUUUAGUGUUUGUAUUUGUGCCAGAUUUCAAUCAGAUCCCAAAGAAUCUCAUCUAAGUGCUGCGAAACGCAUCAUCAAAUACGUUGCAACAACCUCUAAUUUGGGUCUCUGGUAUCCUAAAGAAUGAGACUUUACUCUCCUUGGAUAUUCAGACGUAGAUCUAGCAGGAUGUAGAGUUGAUAGAAAGAGCACCUUGACCACUUGUCAAUUGCUUGGUAAUAGGACAGUAUCUUGGUUUUCAAGGAAGCAAAGUAUUGUAGCUCUUUCAAUAGCAGAAGCAGAGUAUGUGGCUCUUGGAAGUUGUUGUUCUCAAAUCUUAUGAAUAAAACAAUAGCUAAGAGACUUUGGAAUCGAAGACUCAUGCACUGAGAUCAAAUGUGACAACAUUAGCGCAAUUAAUCUCACCAAGAAUCCCAUUCUUCAUUCAAGAGCAAAGCAUAUAGAGAUUCGACAUCACUUUAUUAGAGACUUUGUUCAGAAUGGAGAAGUCUUGAUUCAAUUCAUUGACUCAAAGAAUCAGCUGGCGGAUAUUUUUACAAAGCCAUUGGAGAAAAGUCAAUUUGAGUCUAUUCGAUUCAAACUUAAUAUCUUAAAUUCUGAAGAAGUUCAGACUCAGUGAUAAAAGUCUAAAGAUGCUCAGACUCAGAAGAUAAAGAAUCACGACUAUAAAUUAUUUCAGUUUUAGAAAUUUAUCUUUUGAAUAAAAAACUCGAAAAGGUACAUUUGUUUAUUAAUCUGUAAUGGAUUGAUCUUAUCUUCCCAAGUUGUCAUAAUUAUAGCAAUCCUUCCUUUUCGAAAAAGAAGUUAUCUUUUGAAAUGACAGUUAUCUAUUUUCAAAAAGACAAUUAUUUUUUAAAAGGCAUUUUCUAUUUUUCCUUUUACAACUAUCCGUAUACCCCAUUUCAAUUGCCUUAUAUACUGAUCGUCUUCUUCACGAACCCAAGAAGCAAAAAACUUCACUUUCUUACUUUUACUCUCUAGUUUAAUCCUCAAAAUUUUCAUCUUUCUCGCGAAUCGAGUUUGAAAUCUCUCAAAUACUGUGACAAUGACUUCACAAAGAAAGUACUCAAGGAUUGCAAGCAGGGGACCACAGCAUAUGCGUGAGGGUCCUACACACUUUGAUCUGAUCGAGGAAGAAGAAUCUUCAAGGCAACUGCAGAAUCCACAACAUUCUCAACCGCGUCAUUCUCCUCGCGCUAGACCACAGGAUGCUCAACAACAAGCGGAGGAAGAAAUUAUUGAGGAUGCAGAACCCGUAAGAACUCUAAAGCCUGCUUUUACCUUCAAACUCUACUCUACCUUAAAGGUGGAGGUUCUGCUUUGAACUUUAUUGAUGAAUUUUUGAAAGAAAAUGGGUACCGAAAUGAAACCCACUUUUUACGAACGAUGGAACGUUUGUGAAUUGCUCCUGCGGGCUUGGUAGAAAGAGCUUUUGCGAAUAUCCCAAGUGAUCCUCGUGUUGGAGGACAUAGUCAACCUGAUGGAAAUGAUGAUGAAAAGAUGUUCACUCAUUUUAAGCCUAGAAUGGGUGUCGCUGCGAAUAUUCGAGGAAAAAGGCCAGAUUUGUUUCAUUCUGAGGAACAUAAGCGACUUUACUCUAAGUUGCUGAAGCGAGGGGUGAUGAAUCCAAGGAGUGUGGAUUUUGAUUUUCUCGACUCUCUAAACGUAAAGUUGCGAGAGAAAUUCACUUUACUUCAACUUGAACGAUUUUGCUCUGAAACAAUAGUAGCUCAUCCAUAACUUACUACAUAUUUCUAUUCCAAUCUAAGCUUUUUGGAUGUGAAUAGAUUUUCCUUCAGUGUUAGAGACUAGGAUUAUGUGGUUGAUAUGGACAUUCUGGCUAAUGUGAUUGGAGUAGAGAGAGGGGAAUUCCAAUCAAUUAGUGUGUCUAUUGGUCGUGCGACUGUAGAGCUUGUUCGGGAUGGAAUGACAGAAGGACGAAUUUCGUACUUGAGGAUGAAUGCCUCAAAUAUCUUGCUUCACAAGAUUGUGAUCAAUUUUCUUAGACCCAAAUCGACUUCAAAGACUAACGUCUCCAAUUCGAAAGCAAAGCUGAUGUAUGCUAUCAAUGCUGGCAAAAAGUUCUCUCUGUCACACACUAUCAUGUUUCACAUGUAUAGAUCGAUGGUGAAGGACAAGGGCCAACUUCCUUAUUUAGCACUUGUCACUAAGUUAUUUAGACAUUUUAAUAUUCAGCCUCCCAAAAUUCUGUGUGUUCGAACCUAUGAUCAAAUGGUGGUGGGACUGAAGAUGGUUUCUAAAAUGUGUCUGAAGGAGCUGAACAAUGCUUUGGAGCGAUUUAAGGAGAAAACCCCUAUCAAGACUCAUCAAGUCUCUAUGGCUGUAAAACGGAAAGGUAAGGAGCCCAUGACAGCUUUAUCUAAGAAAAGGAGAGCACUCAUCUUGCAGGAUGAAGACUCUUGCCUUAAGGAACUUACAGCGUUUUAUCCAGAGACAGAAGAGAGAGAGGAUCAAGACAGAGAAGAAAUAGAGCAGAGGAGUAAAGAGAGGGAAUCGAUGAGGAAAGAAGCAGAGGAAGAAAGAACUGCAGAAGAAGAGAGAAGAGGAGAACAAGAAGAGACUGAGCAUGAAGAGUACUUCUCUCCACCUGAAGGCACUAAAACAUGGGGAGCUACUGAAAAAAGAGGUACAUCUUCAAUUGCUUUUACUAGUGAAGAUGUUAGUCAUUCUCCUGCUAAUCCAAAAGAUGUAUAUGCCUCUCAAUUUCCUGAGGAAGGUCAUGAGAUUUCAUCUCCAAAUCUGGAUGCUCAUGCUGAAAUGCCAUUAUCUGCCAAUACUCCACAAACUGAUCAUGCUGAAGCAAGCACUCAAACUGACAACUCAACAGAUUUUAAAAGAUUGAUUGAUGUUCUUAUGGAGAUGCGAGGCCAGAUUUAUGCUUUGGGAUGCGAAGUUCAAAACAUGCAGAAUGCCAGUCAAGCCUCUUUAGUUUCUUUGAACAAUCAAGUUCAGGCCCUUAAUCUUCAAGUUCAAGCAACUGCCAAGGGUGAGGAAGUAGCGCAACUGAAGGAGGAUUUGAGAAAGCUGGAGGAGACUGUCAAGUUGAUGGGAGAUUUCCAGCUUAUUCGCGUUCCAAAACAAUCUUAAUUUUAUCCAAUUCUCUUUUCGUCUCUACCUUUUUAAUGCUGAUAAAAAGGGGGAGAAGUUGAUGCAGAUUUGACUUUUGUUUGACUUUACUAUUGACUUUACUUUUGUUUGGUUGUGAUUGGUUUGGCUUGGACUAUGUUUUUGGUUUGGAUUGCUUGAUCGUUUGAUCGUUUAAUGCUUGCAAUAUCUUAAGCGUUGUUGGUGUUCAUGGUAAAGAUAGUUGUUUUUACAGGACUAACUCAUUUCCUGUGGAUGCAUAUUCGAUACUAUCUUUAUCCUAAUCCAUUUAUUUUUUUUAUGAGAUAUCCAUGUCUGCUUAAGUAUUGUCUUGCAGGUCAAAGUAUCUAAAUCUAUAGGAAAAUUUUGUCACCAUAAAAAAUGGGGAGAUGUUGGAGAAAAUUUCCUUAUUUGUUUUGAAGUUGACAAAAUGUUUCCAUCAGUCUAGUCUGAAGACUUGCAGACUCUUUCAUCAAAGUUUGAAGACCGCUAGACUGCCAGAUUCAAGAUUUAAAGUCUACCCUCAUUGACAGUUUCUAGACCGUCGAAGAAGAUUUAUCCAGAAUUGAGUAUUUCUUUAAGGAUUUGAUUCGAGCGGCUAAAGAAGAUCUCAUGGCUGGAGAAAGCAUCUCAAGAUCUAUUAUUCAUUUUUGAUUAAUUCGGGUAAUUUGGAUCUGUUGAUUGGCGAAAUAUACUUGGAAGGUUCUACUUAUGGAAACCUAGAUAUUGAUUGUAUGGGCGAGCAUGAUUGGUGGGCUAUCAUCACAUUCCUUAAGUAAUUUGAGAUCUCCCUAAAUUGAUUCUAUCCAACGGGUAGAUUGGAAGAACUCCUUUGGAAGGCGCCAACGGUUAUGAAGGCAUGGAGGAGUAUAUAAAGAAGAUGCUCUAGUUAUUCGAGUGUGUGCGCGAUAGAUAAAUUCCAAAGUCUGAAGCUCAUGAUAGAUAAAUUCCAAAGUCUGAAGCUCAUGAUAGAUAAAUUCCAAAGUCUGAAGCUCAUUGUUCUUUGCUGAUUCAAUUGUUGAGCGUAAAUUUGUACUCAAAAGAGAGUUUAUACAUUUGUGAGGCCUUGAGGAAGUGUAGCAGAGUCUCUACACUGUGGAAUCAAGGACGUGAUACUGUAACGACUCUUUUGAUUCAUAGUGAAAUCCAACCGGUGGGCUAUUAGUACGGGAGAGUGGACGUAGGCUUGGAUUAAGCUGAACCACUAUAAACCUUGUAUUUUUAUUCAUUUCCCUGAACUCUUUUACUUUGUUCGUAACUUUAUUUAAUUGUUAAAGUCUAAUUUCCCCUUCAAAGUCUAUUGUUAACCAAACUCAGGUUAAAAGUAAAGUUCUACACUAUAUUUUGCAAAAUUUGUUUUCGCACCUAUUCACCCCCUCUAGGUGCACAUACUAGCACUUUCAGUAUCAAACAUAACCUCGCGCAACUUGUGUAAUCAACGGAUUGAUAAGGAUGUUAGGUCGGCCACCAUAUCAUGUGAUGGCGGAUUUUGUUCAAGUUUAGCUGUUCGACUGGUUUAAAGGUGGUACAGUCCCACUUUUUAGUCUCUAAUAAGCUGUCGAAAGCACAAGCAUGGAUACCUUUGAUCUUCCCACUCAAUUUGAGGUCCAUAUACGAGAUUGAAUGUGGAGAAAUGGGUGCAUAUCUGGUAUUACUGAAUUCUCUGAGUCACUGACAGACUCCAUCAUCAGUCCAUAUGCCCUAGACUUUAGACACAUCAUUCCAAUGUGAAACAGCCAAUGGAUUUCCCCAGACAUGGGCAAUUCCAAUCAUUCCUAAUCCUCAAAGUGGUCGAAUGUCAAUGCGUCUGUCUCUCUCCCUACCUCGCACAUUCAAUGUUUCUUGCUUCAUGUCUUCGAACUUAGGUUGGCCUGGCCGGUGAACUCAACCAAAUGGGGAAGUGUAUAGCUCGCUCUUCUUCUGUUCGAUUGACCUCUUUCGAAUGUGAAUUCUGGGUUUGUCUCUCCCUCUGGAGAUCGAUGGACACACGCAUCAAUCAAAGCGAGUGAGUGAACUUUGAUGUUUUCUUACUCUUUCGCUUUCUAAACAAUUUUGGUUAGGGAUGGCGAAAGACCGUGAUUCUUUCCAAAGAGGCCUCUCUAUAUGUGUUGACAAUAGCCCUAUAUUUUGGAAUAAUAUGAUAAAUGCAAGCAAUAGAGGGAUUGAUUUUACCUUCUAUGUUCAUGGGAUGUCAAGUUUUCUUCGUGACGAAAACUCGUGAUGACAAAUCACUUUAUAUAUAUAAUUCGUCUAAACUUAUUUAAAGUAUAGACCUAAAUAAAGUGAGAUGAUCAUAUAUAUAUAACCAGUCUCGUAAUCAAGGAGUAACCCGAGAAUUUAUCCAUCAAUUCAAAAACUACCAUUCCCUUCUUCACGUACCAAAUAGGAUAUAAAAGAUACCUAAGCCGUACCAACUGCCCGAAGUACAAAUAACCAGAAACCAUAAAGUGAAGAUCAAUUAUUUGCCUUCAUUAGCCAUUACAUCGUCUCUUCGAACUUGUAAAUCUCCCCUUUUUGCCUAAUAUGCUAAUCAAUCCACAAAACGUUGUCAAGUAAGGACCUGUAAAAUCAAGUGCUGUAGGCCUGAAAGAUUCAUUUGCUGACAGCAUUCUGUGCAAGUUGGGAACUAACUCAGGAGGAAUGGUUGAGGAAGCUUCAUUUGCUAAGUAUGUCAAGGUAUUCAUGUACUGCGUAUAGCACACCAAAAGCAAAACUCGUUAGUAGAGCAACUUAUAUGGAGAGAGAUCCCAUUUAAAUAUGUGUGUCCACAAAUCCACCUAAACGGGCACACACUUGGGUUACAUAGAGAUGGAAGGACAAGCCCAGCGUUCGAAAGAAAAGUAACAUUUUGACAUUGUUAUGGCAGUCAAACGAAGGCUUGCGAGCAAUUAAGUAGUAAGCGAGCAUCCAAAACUAAAUAUAUCAGAAGCACACCCAGCUGAAGCCGUUUUGCACCAGAUCACUUUAGGAGCAGUGCGAUUGAGUGAUGGCUGCAAAAGACGGUACAGAAUCCUCAACAUCAUAUUCCUGCACGAUCAUUACAAAAGCUGGUAUAAGUAACCAAACUGCCAUCAUACUAAUAUCCGCAAUAACAUGCUGAACAAAAUGUGAGGAUUGUGCCACACAAUACUGUCAUGACUUGCAUACAAGAGAAUUUUCAGUCUAUUUCCACAGUUUAACAUCACUAAGUACUAGAUCAAGAAUGGUUGGGAUAGCAAGAGAACAAGAAUCGAGUAGGGAGAAACUACAAAAACACAAUCAGUCACCAACUUGAAGUCAGGAUGAGUAAAAUCAUCGUGAAUAAAGGAAAAUGAUAAGUAACUUUCACCAAUCUCUAUUGUGAGAUCAAAAUAAGAAAAGGAAUGUGCAACGGUUAUGUCCCAAAGAAUGAAGAUGAAAACAAGGUCAGUUUCCUUCAUUCAUCAUCUUAUUGAGUUAUCCACACAGAAUAAUGAAAAGAGUUGUAGACUAGAUAAAUCCACGGUGGCCUGAUAUGAGGACAUGGCAAAACCAAAUCCACCAAGCUUCCAAGAUCCACUUGAUGUAAUAAGCACAUUCUGCAAAAAGAUGUUCCGACAAUUACUUUUGCAUGUCCAAAUACCCAUAUGCUCUUCUUAAAUCCCGAAUUUAAGAGUGAAACAACAUAAUUUUACUUAAAAGGGUAGAAACACCACCCAUUAAAGGGAAAGACAAAGUUAUCUUCUUUUAAGAAUGAAACAACAAAAUUUAGAAAUUACCAACUUAUUUGGAGCUUGCAAAUUCCCAAAUUUUUGUACAAAAUUAUCUUCUUUUAUUUGCAUAUUUUUCUAAGGGAAAAUUCCAAAAAGGGACUCGAAGUGCCAUAUUUUUCUCAAAUAAGGGUCAAAAGUGGAUAUUGUUUCAAAUAAUGAUCGAAAGUGUCAUCACUUUCUCAAAUAAGGGCAUGAAGUAAAUAUUGUUUCCAAUAAGGAUCUAAAGCGGUUAUGUUUGUUUCAAAUAAGGAUUUGAAGUGGCUAUAUCCGUUUCAAAUAACUUUCCGGCAAUCACGGUAUUUUCAUAAUUUGUCAUUUUUCCCUUCUUCUUUUUUUUUUUUCUGGUUCUUCUUCUUCCUCUUCGCUGGUCCACUGGUGAAGAGGAAGAAGAAGAACCAGAAAAAUAAAAGAAAGGAAAAAAGGGAAAAAUGCCAAAUGACGAACCAAUUGGAAAAUUUAGCGGGUUGGUGACCGGCAAAUUAGGUCAUUAUUUGAAACAACCAAAGCCAUUUCAGAUCCUUAUUUGAAACAAUCAAUGCCAUUUUAGAUCCUUAUUUGAAAUAAAAUCCAUUCCUUUUUACAAAAAUUCCCUUUUACUAAUGCUUUGAAUUCACUAACUAUUUUAUAAAAUUCAUAACCUAAAUUAGUAUUAUUUACUAAAUUUUGUCAAAUUAAAAUUUUUAGUUUUGAUUACCAACUAGCCUUUAAUUAUUUACGAAUAUUUAAAUUUUUUUAAUCUACCAAUUGUCUUGUUAAAGUUACCAAGUUUGUUUGUCUUGGGGCUAUUUUUUAAAUUUAUAAGACUCAUUCAAAAACUACCAAUCAAAAUUAGCUUGAUUUACCAACUUUUCUUCCAUUAAAUUAUCAUAUAGUAUUAAGUGCCUACUUUCAUUUGAAUUACUUACCAUGCUCUGUUGGAGAAAACUUCCUUGAGUGUUUUGAAGCUAACAAAAUGUUUCUAUCAUUCUAGUCUAAAGACUUGUAAACUCUUCCAUCAAAGUCUGAAGACUCCGGACUAUCAGACUCAAGACUCAAAGUCUAUCCUCAUUGACAAUUUCUAGACCGUCGAAUAAGGCUUAUCCAGAACUGGAUGUUUCGUUAAGGAUUUGACUUUAUCGAUUGGAGAAGAUUUCUUGGCUGGAUAUAGCAUGCCGGAAUCCAUUAUUCAAAUCAAGAUUGAUUCAGGGAUUAUGGAUCCGUUGAUUAGCGAAGUAUACUUGGAAGGUUCUACUUAUGGAAACCUAGAUCCUGAUUGUAUGGGCGAGCAUGAUUGAUGGGCUAUCGUCAUGUUCCUUAAAUAGCUCGAAGAUCUUUUUAAUUGAUUAUGUUCAACGGGUAUAUUGGAAUAAUUCAUUUGGUAAGUGCCAACGGGUAUGAUGGCAUAAAGGAGUAUAUAAGGAAGACGUUCCAGUUGUUCGAGUGUGUGCAAUAUAGAAGAAUUCCAAAGUCUGAAGCUCCUUGUUCUUAGUCAAUUAAAUUGUUGAGCGAAAUCUUGUACACAAAAGAGAGUCUAUAUCUUUGAGAGACCUUGAUGAAGUUUAGUAGAGUCUCUACACUGUGGAAUCAAGGAAGAGCUUUACUGUAACAACUCUUUUGUUCAUAGUGAAAUCCAGCCGAUGGACUGUCAGUGCGGAAGAGUGGACGUAGGUUUAGAUUAAGCCAAACCACUAUACUCCAUGUGUUCAUAUUCUCUUCUCUACGCUCUUUUACUUUGAUCGUAACUCGUUUUGUUUACAAGAGACGAAUUUCCUUUUCAUAAUCUAUUGUUGAUUAGUGCUGCACGCUUAUAUCGUAAAAUUGUUUUUACAUCUAUUCACCCCUCUCUAAGUGAUCAUACUAGCUUUCACAAUUGGUAUCAGAGCCUGUGUACUCACUUAAGUUGAAGUGUUUUACUUCAGAGCUAGAUCCAUGGCUAGUAUGUUGGCUCCAAGACUAGUUGAAGGGCAGAGCAAUACCAAACCGCCUUAUUUUGAUGGAAAUGAAUACAACAUAUGGAAAAAUAAGAUGAAGGCAUUUCUAAGAUCAAAGAAUCCUCUGGAAUGGGAUGUGGUAGACAAAGGAAUCAUUCCUAAAACUGCACCUGUCUCAGAAAGAGGAAAAGAAGCCGUUGAGUCUAGCGAAAUGACUCAAGAAGAGAUAACCAAGAGACAAGCUCUUGAUGCAAAAGCAAUUUAUUCUUUAUAUUGUGCAUUAUCACCUACUGAAUAUAACAGAAUAUCUUCUUGUGUUACAGCUAAAGAAGUUUGGGAUAGAUUACACAUCACCUAUGAAGGAACUGAUCGAGUGAAAGAAAUCAAAAUCAACAUUUUGCUUGGUCAAUACGAAGCAUUCAAAAUGAAAUCAAGAGAAUCUAUCACUGACAUGUUUAGUCAUUUUACAGAAAUCAUGAAUGGUCUUGAAAAUCAAGGUCAACCAAUUUCUGAUCCCAUGAAAGUAAACAAGCUACUGCGUGGACUCUCCCAGGAUUGGAAUCACAUAAAGACCUCAAUAAGGGGGACACAAAGAAUUAUGCCACUUUCUAUUGAUGAAUUGGUUGGGACUCUUCAGUCUUAUGAAGUGGAGCGAAUCAAUGAAGAUGAAGAUCCUAAAGGUAAGAAAUCCAUUGCAUUAAAAUCUAGGGAUAAGUGUUCCAGAAGUCCUACAACUUGUCACGAAAAUGCAUUUCAGUCCUAAAAUUUGCAAAAAGUGCAUUUAAAUCCUAAAACUUGUCAAAUUGUUUCAAAUGAGUCAUAAGAUUAACGUCGUUAGUCUUUUCCGUUAAAAAUGCUGACGUGGCAUUUUAAAUAAUUUUUUAUUUUCCAGGUUUAUUUUUUAAUUAAUUUUUAUCCUUUUUUAAAAAAAAUUAGAUUUAAAAACCAAAAAAUUAAAAUUAUUCUUAUCUUAUUUUCAACAAAAACUGAAAAGAAAAGUUAAAAAAUUUAUUUUUAAAAUUUUUAAAAAUAAAUUGAAAAAAUAAUGUUAACUUUUUAAAUAUGUUUUUUAAUAGAUAUUUUAACUAAAAAAUUUAUUUUAAAUUAAAAUUUUUUUUUAAUAAUUAUUUUAAAUUUUUUAGAAGUUUUUGGUGAAAAUAAGAUCAAAUGAAUAAAUUUGAUUUUUUUUAGCUUUUAAAUCUAAUUUUUUUUAAAAAUAAUUUUAAAAAAAUUCAUGUGGAAAAUAAAAAAAAAUUAUUUAAAAUGCCACGUCAGCAUUUUUAACGGAAAAUGCUAACGGCGUCGAUCUUAGGACUCGUUUGAAACAAUUUGACAAGUUUUAGGACUUAAAUGCACUUUUUGCAAGUUUUAGGACUGAAAUGCAUUUUCGUGACAAGUUGUAGGACUUCUGGAACACUUAUCCCUAAAAUCUAAUGAUGAUUCUGAUGUCACAGAUUCUGAAGACGAUAUGGAUGAUGAGGAGCUUGCUCUCAUGAUAAGAAGAUUCAGAAAGGUAAACAGAAAAGGGAGAAGAUUCAAUCUAAAGAAACAAAGUUUUCAAAAGCAACAGACUAAGUCUGUUGAGGAUGAUGAAUCCAAUAGAGAUGUAGUCUGUUUUGAAUAUAAGAAAAAGGGACACAUCAGACUCAACUGUUCCCUUUUGAGGAAAAAGAAAGGAAAAGCUGAGAAAUAUCGAAAGGCACUCAAACUAGAAAAUUGGAGUGAUACAGAAUGUGAAGAAAGUGAUGAUGAUUAUGCCAAUAUUUGUCUUAUGGCACAAUCAGACUCGAAUUCAGACUUCGAGACAGACUCAGAUUCAGACAGUGAAAUCGAGGUAAGUAAUUUGAAAAUCCCUACUAAAGUCUCUAGAUACAUUGAUGAAUUAUGUCUUAGUCUCAAAACUUCUCUUAAAAGGAUUUUCGAACUUAAAAGAGAAUUCUACACUAAAGCAACAGGAAAAUGUUUGGAAAGAAAAGGUCAAAAGUCUAGAUAAAAGUGUUACUACUUUGAAAGAAAAUGCAGACAAUCUUUCAAAAGAAAAUGCAUUCUUGAAAAAUGAUAUCUCAAAUAAUUCUAAAAGAUUUUCUAUAGGAUCUGAGAAACUUGAAAAAAUUCUUUCAGCAUAAAAACCUUACUUCAACAAAUCAAGUUUAGGAAUGACUGCUGAAACCAUUCCUCUAAUUGAUUUUCCUAAAGUAAAGGAAAGAAUUAAGCAAAGACCUACAAGAGAUGCUUACAAAAAUCAUUUCCAAAAAGUUUUUGUAAAACCAGUAGGUCGCAGUGCUCUUAGAUGUUCUAAGUGCAAUAGCUUAGACCAUUUUCAGAAAGAAUGUCCUAUGGUUUGGAAACCUAUUAAGAAGGUAUGGGCAAAGACCGUAUAUUACACUAACACCAAUGGACUCAAGAAAAUAUGGGUACCAAAGAAAGCUUGAGUCUAUUUUCUAAAUGCAUGUCACUAUCAAGAAAAAGAUUAAAUGGUACCUGAAUAGUGGAUGCUCAAGGCAUAUGACAAGAGAUUCAAAAUGCUUCAUAAAGCUUGUUCAAUUUAAUGUUGGAAAAGUUUCAUUUGGAGGAAACAGCAAAGGAAGAAUUGUGGGAUAUGGAACUGUAAAGAUUGGAAGCCUCACGAUCAGUAAUGUUUCCUUAGUGGAAGGACUCAACUACAAUUUGUUAAGUAUCAGUCAGCUGUGCGACACCGGUUUCAAAAUCAAUUUUCAAGAGGGAAUAUGUUCAAGAACCAGUAAAGACUCCUCUCAAUCUUUCACGGGUCAAAGACAUGGAAAAAUCUACCUCUUGGAUAUCAAACCAGAUGAAACCCAAUGUCUGAUCUCAAUUCAAGAAGAAGCAAACUUAUGGCACAGAAAACUUGGGCACAUCAACAUGAAGCAAUUAGCCAAAAUUUCAGCAAAAAAACUUGUUCUUGGUCUACCCAAUUUGUCAUACCAAAAGUCUGAUCUAUGCACACCAUGUGUGUUGGGAAAACAGUUUGAAGAAAAAUCAGACGAAUGCAUCUUCCUUGGAUAUUCUAUCAUAAGCAAAGCUUAUAGAGUUUACAACAAGAAGACUCAAUCUGUGGAGGAAUAAAUGAACGUCAAAUUUUAAGAUUUUAUGCAAAACCAAUCGAUUCAGACUCAACCUGAAGAAUCUGAAUCUGGUCCAGACUCUACAAAGUCUAAAUCUUCAGAAGCAGCUCAGACUUCAGAAGAUCAGCAACAAAUGAUCAACGAAGAUUCAAAAGAGGAAAAAGAUCAACAGUUUGACAAAUCAACCAGCAACUGGAAGCAUAAGUCCAGUCAUUCCAAAGAUCUCAUUAUUUGUGAUAUUAAUGAAAGAAUUUGCACAAGAUCCAAAAGGCGCGAAGAGUCUAGUGCUGUGGCUCUUAUUUCUGAAAUAGAACCCAAGUGCAUAGAAGAAGCUUUAACUGAUGAAAGCUGGAUUGAAACUAUGCAAGAAGAACUCAAGCAAUUCAGCAUUAAUGAUGUCUGGGAAUUGACUCCUAAACCAAAAGGUAAAUCUAUCAUUGGAGCUAAAUGGGUUUUCAGGAACAAGAUGAACGAGAAAGGAAAUGUCGUAAGAAACAAAGCAAGACUCGUGGCCAAGGGAUAUACGCAAAAAGAAGGGAUAGACUAUGAUGAGACUUACACACCAAUAGCAAGGUUAGAAGUAAUUAGAUUAUUACUUGCUUUUGCUUGUCAUAAGAAUUUUAAGUUAUUCCAAAUGGACGUCAAAAGUGCUUUCCUAAAUGGAUUUAUCUAAGAAGAAGUCUAUGUGGAACAACCACCCGGUUUUGAAGAUCCAAGAAAACUAGACUCUAUAUUCAGACUGAAAAAUGUUUUAUAUGGUUUAAAGCAAGCACCUCGAGCUUGGUACGACUGACUAAAUAAGUUUUUAAUUCAGAACGGUUUUGUCAAAUGUAAAGUAGAUACUACAUUGUUUAUCAAAAGAGAAAGCAAAAGUAUUCUACUUGUUCAAUUUAUGUUGAUGAUAUUAUUUUUGGAUCUUUUAAUGAAAAUCUGUACAAGAAAUUUUCGAAGUCUAUGCAGGAUGAGUUUGAAAUGAGUAUGAUGGGUGAGCUAACCUUCUUUCUUGGGCUUCAAGUGAAACAACAGAAGGAAGGAAUCUUUAUUCAUCAAGAAAAAUAUGCUAAAGAACUUGUCAAAAAGUUUGGACUAGAAAAUUGCAAAAAGACUGAUAUACCAAUGUCAAGUUCUUUGAAGAUGGAUAAAGAUGAGGAAGGAAAGAAAGUUGACCAGAAGCUAUACAGGAGUAUCAUUGGUUCACUUCUUUAUCUAACUGCAUCUAGACCUGACAUUUUGUUUAGUGUUUGCAUGUGUGCCAGAUUUCAAUCAGACCCUAAAGAAUCUCAUUUAAGUGCUGCAAAGCGUAUUAUCAAAUGCAUUGCCUCAACUUCAAAUUUGGGUCUCUGGUAUCCUAAAGAAGGAGACUUUACUCUUCUUGGAUACUCAGACGCAAACCUAGCCGGAUACAGAGUUAAUAGAAAAAGCACCUCGGGCACCUAUCAACUACUUGGAAGCAGGACAGUGUCUUGGUUUUUAAGAAAGCAAAGUACAGUAGCUCUUUCUACAGUAGAAGCAGAGUAUGUAGCUCUUGGAAGUUGUUGUUCACAAAUUCUGUGGAUAAAACAACAGUUAAGAGACUUUGGAAUUGAGAUUCAUGCACUCAAAUCAAAUGUGACAACACCAGCGCAAUCAAUCUCACCAAGAAUCCGAUUCUUCACUCAAGAGCAAAACAUAUAGAGAUUCGACAUCAUUUCAUUAGAGAUCAUGUUCAAAAUGGAGAAGUUUCAAUUCAGUUUAUCGACUCAAAGAAUCAACUGGCGGAUAUAUUUACAAAGCCUUUGGAGAAAAAUCAAUUUGAAGUUAUUCGUUCCAAUCUCAAUAUCUUAAAGUCUGAGGAUGUUCAAACUCAGGACAUAAAGUCUAAAGUCUCUCAGACUCAAACAAUCAAGACUCUACGACUGUAAGUUAUUUCUAUUUUAGAAAUUUAUUUCUUGGAUCAAAUCUUGAAAAGGUACGAUCUUCUAUCCGAAAUUGAUUGGUGUUAUUUUCCCAAUUUUUCGUGAUUAAUGCAAUCCUUCUUUUUUCGAAAAAGAAGUUAUUUAAAAUGACAAUUAUCUAAUUUUUUGAAAAAGGCAGUUAUUUUUCAAAAGGCAUAUUUAUAUUUCUUUUUUACGACGUUCAGUAUGCCUCGCUUCGACUGCCUUAUAUGCUGUCGGUUCUUCUUCGUUUUACUCACAAAAACCCUAAGAGAGCACAGAUCUUCCAUUUCUGUCUUCUUCUCUUGUUUAAUCCUCGAAAAGUUUUCAUCUUUCUUGGGAAACAAGCUUGGAAUCUCUUAAAGACUGUGAAAGAUGUCGUCUCAAAGAAAGUUUUCGAGGAUCGCGAACAGGGAACCACAGCAAAUGUGUGCGGGGCCUACGCACUUUGAUCUCACUGAGGAAGAAGAAUCUCCUAGACAGCAGCAGAGCCCGCAACAUUCUCAGCAGCGUCCAUCUCCUCCAUCUAGACCUCAGGAUGUUGAACAUCAAGAAGAGGAAAAAAUCAUCGAAGACGCAGAACCCCUAAGAACUCUUAAGCCCGCUUUUACCUACAAAUUUUAUCGUGCUUUAAAGAGGGGUGGUACUCCGUUGAACUACAUUGAUGAAUUUCUUAAAGACAAAGGGUAUAGAAAUGAAACUUUCUUUUUACACACAAUGAAACGUUUGGGAAUUGCCCCUGCUUGGUCGGCGGAAGAGGCAUUGGCAAAUAUCUCAAGCAAUCCACGUGUUGGAGGGCUGAGUCAACCAGAUGGGAAUAACGAUGAUAGGAUGUACAGUCAGUUUAAACCUAGAAUGGGUGUUGCAGCAAAAAUCUGAAGCAAAAAGACGGAUUUAUUUCAAUCGGAGGAACACAAGCAACUGUAGUCUAAGUUGCUGAAGCGUGGGGUGAUAAACCCUAGAAGUGUGGACUUUGAUUUUCUUGACUCUAUGAAUGUCAAUCUGCGAGAAAAAUUCAGUCUUCUUCAACUCGAACAGUUUUGUUCUGAAACUACAGAAGCUCAUGCUGAACUUACUGCUUAUUUCUAUUCGAAUCUCAGUUUCUUGGAUGCGAAUAGGUUCUCUUUUAGUGUUCGAGAUCAAGACUAUGUGGUUGACAUGAAUACAUUGGCUAAUGUGAUUAGGGUUGAAAGAUGGAGAUAUCAACCUAUCAGUGUGUCUAUUGCUCGUGCAACGUUGGAGCUUGUUUAGGAUAGAAGGACAGAAGGGAAGAUUUCCUAUUUGAGGAUAAAUGCGACCAACAUUUUGCUUCACAAGAUUGUGAUUAACUACCUCAGACCAAAAUCUACUUCAAAGACCGACGUUUCAAACUCGGAGGCAAAGCUGAUGUAUGCCAUCAAUGCUGGGAAAAAGUUUUCUCUUUCACACACUAUUAUGUUCCACAUGAACAAAGCAGUGGUGAAGGACAAGGGUCAACUUCCUUAUCCAGCUCUUGUGACUCAGUUAUUCAUACAUUUGAACGUUCAGCCUCCCCGGAUUUUCUGUGUUCGAACAUGCGAUCAAAUGGUGGUGGGAUUGAAAAUGGUCUCUAAAAUGCGUCUGAAGGAACUCAACAAGGCGUUGGAACAAUUCAAGGAGAAAACCCCUGUCAAGACUCAUCAAAUAUCUUCAGCUACAAAGAGGAAAAGAAAGGAGCCCAUGGUUGCUCCAUCCAAGAAAAUAAGAGCUCUCAUCAUUGAGGAUGAAGAGGAUGAGGAUGAUAUCACCAUUUCCACGAUGGCAUUGAAGAACUUGAGUCGUUCUGUUCCAAAAUCGACGAAAAGCAAGGAAAAAGACACGGAUGAGAUAGAACAGAGGACUGGAGAGAAAGAAGUUUUGGAGAAAGAAGCAGAGGAGAGAGAAGCAGAGGAGGAAAUAAUUGAGGAAGAAGAAGAAUAGGAGAGAGGAGAUCAAGCGGAAGUAGAGCAUGAGGAACACUUUUCUCCACCUGAAGGCAUGGAAACAGGGGGAGAUCGUGAGAAAAGAGGAACGUCCUCAUUCCCUGCCACCAGUGAAGGAAUAAGUCGUUCUCCAGCAGAUCCAAAGGACAUCUAUGCCUCUCAAUUUCCUGAAGAGGGACAUGAUGUUUCAUCGCCCAAUUUGCGUGACCAUGCUGAUUUACCACCAUCUACCUAUACUCCAUCUGAUCGUGCAGAAGCCAGUACUCAGACUGAUAAUUCAGUAGAUUUUCGCAAAAUUCUUGAUGUUCUCUUGGAGAUGCGGGGUCAAAUAUAUGCUUUGGGAUGCGAAGUACAAAACUUGCAAAAUGCAAGACAAGCUUCUUCAGUUUCUUUGAAUGAUCAAAUCCAUGCCCUUGCUCUUCAAGUUCAAGCAAAUGCUAAGGGUGAAGAUGUGGAGCAACUGAAGGAGGAUUUGAAAAAGCUGGAAUGGAUUAUCCAGUCAAUGGGAGAUUUCCAGCUUGUUCGUAUUCCCAAGCAAUCUUAAUUCCAUUCUCUUUUCAUCUCUACCUUUUUAAUGAUGACAAAAAGGGGGAGAGAUGUGGUGCAUAUUUGAUUUUGAACUUUGAACUCACUUUUUGAACUUUUGUGUCGAUUAUGUUUGAUUGACUUGACUUUUGUGUUUGGCUGUUUGGAUUUGAACUGGAUUUGGAUUUGACUGUUUGAACAUUUGUUUAUCUUAAGUACUAUUGAUAUCUCAUGGCUUUGUUCAUUUAUAAGACUAACCUACUUUCUAUGGAUGCAGAUUCUAGUGUUAUUUUUACUAAGCCAUUUAUCUUUGUGAGAUAUCAAUAUUUGCUUGAGUAAUGUUUUGCCGGUCAAAGUUAUCCAAAUCUGCAGGAAAGUUUUGUCACCAUCAAAAAGGGGGAGAUUGUUGGAGAAAACUUCCUUGAGUGUUUUGAAGCUGACAAAACGUUUCCAUCAAUCUAGUCUGAAGACUUGUAGACUCUUCCAUCAAAGUCUGAAGACUCCGGACUACCAGACUCAAGACUCAAAAUCUAUCCUCAUUGACAGUUUCUAGAUUGUCGAAGAAGGCUUAUCCAGAACUGGAUGUUUCGUUAAGGAUUUGACUUUAUCAACUGGAGAAGAUCUCUUGGCUGGAUAUAACAUGUCGGAAUCCAUUAUUCAAAUCAAGAUUGAUUCAGGGAUUAUGGAUCCGUUGAUUAGCGAAGUAUACUUGGAAGGUUCUACUUAUGGAAACCUAGAUCCUGAUUGUAUGGGCGAGCAGGAUUGAUGGGCUAUCGUCAUGUUCCUUAAAUAGCUCGAAGAUCUUCCUAAUUGAUUCUGUCCAACGGGUAGAUUGGAAGAAUUCCUUUGGUAAGUGCCAAUGGGUAUGAUGGCAUAAAGGAGUAUAUAAGGAAGACGUUCCAGUUGUUCGAGUGUGUGCGCGAUAGAAGAAUUCCAAAGUCUGAAGCUCCUUGUUCUUAGUCAAUUAAACUGUUGAGCGAAAUCUUGUACGUAAAAGAGAGUCUAUAUCUUUAAGAGACCUUGAGGAAGUGUAGUAGAGUCUCUACACUGUGGAAUCAAGGAAGAGCUUUACUGUAACAAUUCUUUUGUUCAUAGUGAAAUCCAGCCGGUGGGCUGUCAGUGCGAAAGAGUGGACGUAGGCUUGGAUUAAGCCGAACUACUAUAAUCCCUAUGUUCAUAUUCUCUUCUCUACGCUCUUUUACUUUGAUCGUAACUCGUUUUGUUUACAAAAGACGGAUUUCCUUUUCAUAAUCUAUUGUUGAUUAGUGCUACACACUUAUAUCGUAAAAUUGUUUUUACACCUAUCACCCCCCCCUCUAGAUGCUCAUACUAGCUUUCACACACUCUAGUUGUUUAAAUUUUCAAUUUGCCUACUUUUCUUAUCGUUUGUAAACUUUGCUUGUCCUAGCAACUCUUGUGAUUUACCGACUCUUUUUUCAAAUAUUAUCACUAACCUAAUUAAAGUGACAUAACAACUUCUCUUCGAUUAAAUUAUCGGCUAGUCUUGAAUUGCCAACUCUCACUUGAGUUACUUACCAAUUUUAUUUUAUUUUAAAUUACCAACUUUUAUUAUCUUUUAUGACGUUUUAUCUUUCCUAACUCCUCCAUACAUAUUUAAUCCAUAACAUGCGACAUGAUCAUACAUUAUCACAUCUUUUUCCGUCAAUCUUUUCCAUACAAAAUAUGCAGGACUUCUUGAGCUCCCAAUUAAUUUUCACUAAAUGAGCUAGUUAUCUCAACGAAAAUAGUGCUUGACGGUACAUUAUUGUAGGUUUAUACUCCUGACCAUCAUCUUGAUAGGAUAAGCUAACACUAACAAAAUUGCCAAAUAUACGGAUUAGGUAUCAGUUUGGCCAUGGUUUGAUUAAGUCCAAGUAAUUAGCUGCACUUUUGGGUGACUCCGGGUCCGAGACUCCAACUAUCAAAUCAAGACUCGAAAAAACACAAGAGACUAGUCAAUUUAACCAUUUUAUUUAAAAAGAUGCUAUUUCCACUUUAUUUUAUGAUUUUAAUACCUCUUCUUUUUUCUUCCAAGUUACUUCUCCAAUAUGGGCUUCUAGACGAAGAAGGGUUUGAUGUGCAUAUAAUCUAACUGGAUCCGGAUUUUCUUGACAUAUUAAGUAUAAAUCUACAAGUACCUAAGAUUCAUAUAUAAUAAGCACAUAAACUCCCAUUUUCUUCUGGACUUAUCAAGAAACCUGAUGGAUGGAGACACCCUUUCGAUUCUUCCAAGGUUGCAACUUGUUGAGGGACAAAAUAAAUUCACAAUUAAAUUCCCAACAUUAGGAACUCGUUGAUAAUACUAGCAUGUACACGUGCAUAUUAGUCAAAAGUCUAGAAAAAACUUCCCUUGUUUAUAGGUUAGCUCCAGAAUAAAGGUCGAUCUAAAUAAACCCAGGUUGAAGAAUUCAAUAAUAAAUUUAAUCUUGAAAAAAAAAAAAAAAACCCAAAACCUCGUCCAUACGCACACAUACAUAUAUAUAUAAGAUACACUUAAGAAUUUCGAGGUUCUUGUUUUAGUUGGUUGAAGUAGUGAUUAGCUUUUAGCCUUUCUAAGUAAAGACUAUGAAAUGUAGAGAAGGAGUUGGGACUUGGGAUUAGAUGCCUCCUCCACCUGGUACCUUGUAUCUACAUAUUGAAAAUUCUAAUAGGACUUCGAAGUUGGAGUGUUAAAAGUAUAUCUUGCAUAAAUAGUUAUCAGAUUUAUAACGAAGUUAUAUACAUCAUUAAAUUGAUUAAUAGAUUAAGAUGCACCUUCUAGGAACACAAAAAUCUAUUGUCUUGUGUUCAAUUGUAUGAAAUCUUUCUAUCAUAGUGGCAAAUUUAAACAUCGUUCGCUGGUGAAAACAAUGGUCAUCGAUUUUUUUUUCAAGUAAGGUGUUGGUAAAUUUACCAACAACUUUAUGAAAUUGCCAACUUAUUUAGAGUUUGCAAAUUUACAAAUUUUGUACAAACUUAUCUAUUUUUAUUUGUAUAUCUUGCUAAUGCUUUGAAUUCACUAAUCUUCUUUUAUUUUAUUUUUUAUUUUUUAUGAAACUGAUAGCUUAAAUUAGUGUGAUUUACUAAUUUGUCAAAUUAAGUUUUUAAGUUUUGGUUUACCAACUCUCUGCGAAUUAUUUACCAACAUUAAUUUUAUUUAAUCCUCCAAAUUUCCCGUUAAAGUUACCAACCUUUUAUGUAUCUUUCCUAACUCAUCCAAUAUAUGUUUUCUGCGCAACGUGUGAUGAAGACGUGAUCAUACGCAAUCACAUCCUUUUCCAUUGAUUUUUUCAGACAAAACACUCAAGACUUCUUGGGCUCUCAUUAAUCUCUAGUAUAAGAGCUAGUCAUCCUGACUCAAAUACCGAAGGUCCACAGUAAUAUUAUAGGCUCAUGCUCCCGACGGCCAUCUCAAGAGGAUAAGCUAACCCCUAACACAAUUGCUGGCUGAAUCCACGAAUUAUGUAUCGGUUUGGCCAUGGUUUGAUAAAGUCUUUGGUGAUUAGCUGUACGCCGGUCGACUCUAGCUACCGAAACACACAUUAAUUAAUAAAACUCAGGAAAACAUUCGCGCCCAAUUACUGCUAUCUGUUCAUAGGACCCAAUCGAAUAUUUGUGUCACCCUUUUUAUGUUGGAUGCAAAUUUCUUACUGGCUUCACCUACUCGAAGGAACUGCGAUUUAGGUGGUAGGUGGCGACCCUUUCCUUUCUCUCUUGUCUUCUUUUUCUUUUCUUGCCUCGAUUUUCCUUUAUUUUCUCCGGGGUUGGUGGUAAUUGGUAGGCACGACUUUAACAAAUUCUUUGGCCUAUGUCCGCAUUCAAAUGGUGUUCUGACCGCAUCUGAAUUGAAAAGCUAGCUACCGUCUCCCCAGAGACUGGCGAUUUGAUCGAAAGUGGUAGGACAAAAGGGUAAUGAUAUCCAGUCUUUGGAUCGGAUGGAUGGGAUUUAUUAAUCCCCAGCUAAUCCACUUAAUUUAAUUUACUUCGUCUCAAAAUUCGGGGCUGAGUUCUUUGAAUGUUUCCCUUGUGAGCAUGGACUUGUCUCGCACGUGAUUUGCAAAAUGAAGUGGAUCUUUUCAUGCAAAUAGAUAAAAAUGGCAUUGGAACUUAUGGUUUUAUAACUUAGUCAAGUAUUAUAGUUACACCAUUACCCAAAUGUCUGAAUAUCUUUUCAUUUUUGGGAAGUAACGAAGAAGGACAUGACUUGGGAUUUACUCUUUUUGGGUCAACAACUUAACAUGGGAUUUUUGGAACAUGACUUUUCGGUUUAAUACGGUCAACAAAUUCAAAAUAUGGUCAUUCCUAAAUUCAUUUAAUAAUCAAUUUGGGCAUAUUUAAUCUUUAUAUAGCUUCACGACCUACUCCCAAAACAAGAUAGUUUUGUCUUUACUAGCAACUCAUCGAAAUUGCGAUUCCACAACGGAGUUUAGCUUAGGAAUCGAAUUUUCAUUUGACAUUUUAUAUGGUAUGUCCUAUGUCCUAUGUUGCUAACAUCCCACAUGGUCAUGGAAUAAGGAAAAAAAAUUACGUGAAUGCAGUUUCUCUUGGGGAAAAGUCAAAAUAGAAAAAGGAAUCCCAUCGUAAAAUCUUUCUUUAAUAUAUAUGAAGACAAAAAGGUCCUCAUAUACUCUUCCAUUUGAGUCGAAAUUAUCACGCAUGGCACUACAUCGAGAUUUAUAGUUUGAACUGAAUUUUGUGAUUGGAUUGAAUUUUAAUUUUUAUUCAAUUUAAAUUUUACGGUCCACAAAUGUUGAUUUUUUGUAAUCCGAAGCGUUCGAGACUUUGACACUAUAUCUAUGAUUUUUAUUGGAAUCUAAGUAUUUUAAGUUACGGUGGAAAAACAAAAGGAAUAAUUUUUUCUUUUAAUUAUUUGCAAACAAGCAAGCUCAUCUUAUUACGUCAUUGAGAUAAUAAAUUUAGUUUACAAGUGAAAAAUAGAAAUUCUUCAGCACGCUUGUCUCUUGCUAUCAUUGAAGUGUUUAGUGUCAUGCGAAAUAUAAGCAGUUUAUUAAUUAUUAAGUGUUCUAAAGGGUCAAUACAUGCGAGGUUAAUAAAUUAUCGAGAUAUCGAAAGUAUAGUCAAUUGUGAUCAAGAGGCAAAUGCCUUCAAUGCUUCGAUUGUCUUUGUGUUCUACACAAUUAGUAUCUCGAAAUUGAAUUACACAUAUAAAACAAAUGUCCAUGACUUUCAUUAUGACUUACGUUAAAAAGUACCCGAUGCACUUGUUAAGCAAUUUGGAUAAGCAUGGCACUACAUCGAGAUUUAUAGUUUGCGCUGAAUUUUAUCAUUGGAUUGAAUUUUAAUUUUUAUUCAAUUAAAAUUUUACGGUUCACAAAUGUUGAUUUUUUUAUUAAUUUGAAGCGUUCAAGACUUUCACAUUAUAUCUAUGAUUUUUUUUUUUUUUGGAAUCUAAGUAUUUUAAAUUACGAUGGAAAAAAAAAGGGAAUAGAUUUUUCUUUUAAUUAUUUGCAAAUAAACAAGCUCAUCUUAUUAAUAAAUUACAUCACUUAGAUAAUAAAUUUAGUUUACUAGUGAAAAACAUAAAUUCUUCGGCACGCUUGUCCCUUCCUAUCAUGGGGCAUCAUGCGAAAUAUAAACAAUUUGUUAAUUAUUAAGUGUUCUAAAGGGUCUAGACAUGCAAGGUUAAUAAAUUAUCGAUUUAUCAAAAGUAUAGUCAAUCGUGAUGAAGUUGCAAAUACUUUCAAUGCUUCGAUUGUCUUUGCGUUCUCCACAAUUAGUGUCUUGAAAUUGAAUUACACAUAUAAAAUAGAUGUCCAUGACUUUCAUUAUGACUUAUGUUAAAAAGUACCCGGCGCACUUAAUAAGCAAAUUUAAUAAGAAAAUAUUCUAUUUCGAGAGUAUCAACUGUAGAUAUUAAGAAAGAAGUUGGUGCGUAGAAACUUUACUUAUUUUCUUUUUAUUGAAUUGUUCAUCAAAAAAUGUCUUUGGACCCGCUGUGUGACUUAUCCGUUCCUCUGCUCAGUGGGAGGACCAGCUUUGGUUGGUGCAUUGGUUUGGUUGGUAGGAGUAACAUCGUGCUCUCUCCCGAAUGACAUUGUCGUAACCCAUUUCUUAAUUUUUGCAGAGAUGGAGUGUUUUAUUUAUUGCAAGCUCCACUAGUUCCCAAAAAGACUUGGCGCCCCGGACUCACGGACUCGCCAUGCCGCCUCGACGGAGUCCUGAACCCAACCGACCUAGAAUGGACACAAACACAAUGAUAAUUUCCAUUGGUAUAUGUUAUCGGACCGCACAUUUCAUAAGAAUUGUUGAAAGAAUAUGUUAAAAAUGGAAUUGGUACGAGUAAAACGCGCAGGAUGGUUUUGGACUUAUAUUAAAAAUCAGAGGAUAUGACCAAUUCCUACGUAAAAUGAUGAUGAGAUGGAUUGUUUCAAUGAAUUUGGAGAGCGCAAUAGUCAAAUAGUGGGGUUGGUGACCGCACGAUGCAGGCUCAUGCAAAGCGUGUCAAUACCAUGGAGUCAAGUAAGACCAUUUUAUAAUCCCACUCGUACUUCAAAAAUACUGAGAAGAGCACAAGUAAUUUGAGCAGAAAAAGUAAUUUAGUGCUAAUUUCUAGGGGUCACAAUUUUAUGGAUUUUUUUUUUAAAUCAAUUUUUGGUCUGUGCCCUUAAAAUCAUUUUCCUUUCAAAGAUUAAAGUAAAUUGCGAAAUUGAGAAAUAAAAUAUUUUACCAAAAAAGACAGAAAUAUUCAGCAAAAGAAAUGUCGAAAUGAAACGAAAUAAGCCUAAAAGAAAUUGAUCACUCUUAUCUUUUUUUUUCCUUUAACACCGUCAUUAAAAGAAUUUGUCUUGAUAUUACUUAUUAGAUUCCUCCAAUGAUGCAUUUCUGAGGGCUUCCUUCCCGUGAUGUAACACGAGAGCCAUCCUCAUUGUUCCCCAAUUGGGGAGGCCAUUUCUUGUUAGUGCCCGGUGGAACAGCUCAAUGUGCCUAAUCAUCACUUAAACAACACCAAACACCAAUCAACUCCCUCCCCCAUAAUUUCCCAAUUCAAAAUCUCCACCCGGUCGGGAAUUUCAAUUCAAAAACCAGCUUCGGCCCGCAAAAAAAGAAGAAAAAAACCUGAAAUCGCCACUUAGAGGGAGAAUGUCCAUUCGAUUCUAAUGCAAGUAGUUCAAAUAAGAAACUCAAGAGAGAAAAAACAAAAUAAAGAAAAAAAAAAGGAGGAUAUUUGCGCCGUUGACGUGGUGCUUUCAUUCGUCCACCGAGUCCUCAGGCUCUCACCAACCCCCGGCAGCCAAAAUCCCUGCCUCCCUCCCCCACCACCUCUUUGACGAGUAAGGGCGCACAUAAUUAAAUUUCUGGAACAGAAAUCAAUUUUUAUUUCAUGAACGAGUUUCUGAGCAAAGAAACACAUUUAAUGACAAUUCAAAUUUCUAUUUCAAAAAUAAAAAUUCAUUUGGUAAAAGAAUUAAAUUUCUAUUUCUAGGAGUGGUGACGACCGGCGUCCGAUGGCCGAAGUUUGACGUCCGGCAAGCGGCGGCGAGCGACCGUAGUCUGGAGUCCGAUGUAAAAAGUUCGGCAUUCGGCGUUUGGCGGCUGGUGGCCAGCAUCCAGCAUCCGACAUCCAACAUCCAGAGUUUGGUGUCCAAUGUCCGGCGUCCAACUAGCCAGCAACCGGCGUCCAACAUCCGGAGUCUGGCGUUCGAUGUCCAAAGUCCGAUAGUCGGCAGUCAGCGGUUGGUGGCUAGUGGCCGAAGCCGGCGAGCAGUGGUGGGCGGCCAACAUCCAACGGUUGGUGGCAAGCAACGGGCAGUGGGUGGCGAAUGUUCGGUCGUCAGUGGUGAGCCUCCGACAUCCAACGGUUGGUGAUGAGCGACCAACAACUGACAAGCAUCCGACGGCCGACGGUCGACAAUGGGCAGCAGUCAGCGAGCAGCAGCGAGUGGCGGGCGUCCAGCAUCCCACGAGCGGCCGGUGGGCAAUGGGUGGUGACAAUAGUGAACAAUGAGAAAAAUUUUGAUUUCUCAUUUCUGUUCCAGAAAUAGAAAUGUGAAAAAUUCUAACUUGUAAUUUUUACUCCAAAUCUAUUUCUAAAAUAAAAUUCUGUUUCAGAAAUUAAAAAAAAAUUUAAAUUACGUUACCAAUUAGAUUUCUGUUCCAAACGUGUUCCGGGGAACAGAAAAACAGACAAAUCGAUAAUUAGAAAUGUUGUUAUGCGCCCGCGCUUUCAUUUCUUCAUCUUUUCUCUUUUUCUUUUUAUCUUUUUUUUUUAUCGCAGGCAAAACGGCCAAAGAAUUCCCCGAAAUGACACUACAUGCACACAUGUCGUCCACGUGUCAUGAUCCCGCCCGUCCAAGGGGAGCAAUCCGACGGCCCCGGGAGGAUUUCAACUAACCCGUCGGCCUAACCUACCUGACAUUCAAUGGCGGGCGCGCCUCUCCUCUAUUUGAACGUCCGAUUUGCAGGAGAGCAGACUCAGGAAAUUCACUGUGAAUUUCCUUUAGAGCAAAACACACUCAAAAAACGCCACCGCGCUCUUCCUCUCUCGCCAGCCCUCACCUCGAUCUCGAUUUCGCGCUGACUCGCUCCUCGCUCGAUUACGACUCCUCUUCUCGCUCUCUCGGCCGCUCUAGACGUUCGCAUUCACACGAGCGCGAAGAUGGACAUGGACACGGCAGCGUGCAACGGCAAGGGCUGGCUCGGGCUCUGCUCGGGGGCAGGCGGUGACCCGCUCAACUGGGGCGCGGCCGCCGCGGCCCUCACGGGGAGCCACCUCGAUGAGGUGAAGCGGAUGGUUGAGGAGUCCCGGCGGCCCGUGGUCCGCCUCGGCGGUGAGACGCUGACCAUCGCACAGGUGGCGGCCAUCGCUGGGCAGGAGGCCGGUGCGGCGGUCGAGCUGUUGGAGGGGGCCCGGGCGGCGGUCAAGGCCAGCAGCGACUGGGUGAUGGAGAGCAUGAGCAACGGCACGGACAGCUACGGGAUCACCACCGGCUUCGGCGCCACCUCGCAUAGGCGGACCAAGCAAGGUGGUGCCCUGCAGAUGGAGCUCAUAAGGUUUUUUGGUUCUUUUCUUUUUUACAUGUGCAGACACUAUUCGUAAGGCUCACAUGAGGCCGGAGACAAAAGUACGGAUUAGCACACCAACAUUUUUUUUAUUAAACGUACAAGCAACAAUUUUUUUUAAACAAAUUAAAAAGGAAUUUUCAAUAUUAUUUGCUUUGUUCAAACUCCUGAUAAAGAUCCACCAGCGGACAAUAAAAUAAAGGAUUAAUACUCUAAAAAAUCCCAAACCGGUAUACCUGUGACAAAUUUACCUAAAACUAUUCUUUUGACCACAAAAAAAUCCCAAACUAGUAUAUAUUUGAUAAAUUUACCCCAAACCGGUACAUUUAUGGCAAAUUUUUUCCUUAUUAGUUCUCGUUAAAUUUUACAAUCAAAUUAUUAAUUCAAAUGACACGUGACAAUUGAUUUGAGAUUUUAUGCUCCGUUUGUCACAGUUUACAAUUUUUGUGAUUUUUUUUUGUAUUAAUCCAAUUUAGCGAAGAGUAUAUUUGUCACAAAUUUACCAGUUUGGGAUUUUUUUCAAUCGAAUAAAUUAGUUUUUGGUAAAUUUGUCAUAAAUGUACCAGUUUAUGGUUUUUUAUUAUCAGUUGGGUUAAAUUUGUCACAUGUAUAUUAGUUUUGGGUUUUCAUGAUCAAAAAAAUAAUUUAUGGUAAAUUUGUCACAAGUAUACCAGUUUUGAGUUUUUUUGAAUAUUAACCCUAAAAUAAAACAAUCAGCUAGCCCGUCCUUAUCACCCCAUCUUCCACAUCCAAUUUUUUACAAGAAUAUUUUUAAAAAAAUCAAGUAAAAUCCUUUAUUUUAAUUUAAAAUUAACACUUGUCAUCUGCGGUAUAAAUAGUCCUCUCGUGAAGGGCUGCCAAGUGCCGGCUGAGCUUCCUUUCCAUAAAAGAUAUAUACACAAACGCUGCAAGUAUCAACCCAAAGGCCAAAAUCAAUUUUUCUAUAAUUUUGAAAUAUUAGGUAACCAAAAAUAAUAUGGAGAAGAUUAAUUAAUUUCGAAGAUGACCCGUAAUAAUUACUUUUUUAAUACCUAAUUUCUCACUUUUCAAUUAAUAAGACUUACCUUUGCUAUAAUUAAAUAAGUGUCUAAAUCGAGAUUCACAUUUUGUUUGUUAUAAUUAAUAAUAUGUGACUGACAAAAUUUUUCGAUCGGGCUAGGUUCUUGAAUGCCGGCAUAUUCGGCAAUGGGACUGAGUCGUGCCACACUCUGCCCCACUCGACGACCCGGGCCGCAAUGCUCGUGAGGAUCAACACCCUCCUCCAGGGCUACUCAGGCAUCCGGUUCGAGAUCCUGGAGACCAUGGCCAAGCUCCUCAACCGCAACAUCACCCCAUGCCUGCCUCUCAGGGGUACCGUCACAGCCUCGGGCGACCUGGUCCCCUUGUCCUACAUCGCCGGGCUUCUGACGGGCAGGCCCAACUCGAAGGCGGUCGGGCCAAACGGCGAGUCCCUGAACGCCGUCGAGGCCUUCCGCCUUGCUGGGAUCGAGCACGGGUUCUUUGACCUGCAGCCCAAAGAGGGCCUCGCGAUCGUGAAUGGCACGGCAGUCGGGUCUGGGCUCGCUUCCAUUGUCCUGUUCGAGGCGAACAUCCUGGCCGUCCUCUCAGAGGUUCUGUCGGCGAUCUUCGCCGAGGUGAUGCAAGGGAAUCCGGAGUUCACCGACCACUUGACCCACAAGCUCAAGCACCAUCCCGGACAAAUUGAAGCUGCAGCUAUAAUGGAGCACAUCUUGGAUGGGAGCUCCUACGUGAAGGACGCUCAAAAGCUCCACGAGAUCGACCCUCUCCAGAAGCCGAAGAAGGACCGAUACGCGCUCCGCACGUCCCCGCAGUGGCUCGGCCCCCAGAUCGAAGUGAUCAGGGCCGCCACCAAAAUGAUCGAGAGGGAGAUCAACUCUGUCAAUGACAACCCGCUGAUCGACGUCUCCAGGAACAAGGCUCUCCAUGUAGGGAACUUCCAGGGGACCCCGAUUGGCGUUUCCAUGGACAACACCCGUCUCGCCAUCGCCUCCAUCGGCAGGCUCAUGUUCGCGCAGUUCUCCGAGCUCGUCAACGACUUCUACAACAACGGGCUGCCCUCUAACCUGUCCGGGGGACGGAACCCAAGCCUGGAUUACGGCUUCAAGGGAGCUGAGAUCGCCAUGGCCUCAUACUGCUCGGAGCUGCAGUUCCUUGCCAACCCUGUGACCAACCAUGUCCAGAGCGCGGAGCAACACAACCAGGACGUGAACUC
rnacentral:lncRNA from 1 species